UUUUAUUAGAUUUUUAUAUGUUUGGGUGUUAAAUUGUUGGAGGCUGGUAAGGAAAAAAGGAAUAUUUUGUUAAAAGGGAAAAGAAAAAGGAAAAGGAAAGGAAAAUGAUAAUAUUAAUAAUAAUAUAAUUUUUUAUUAUUACUAUAAAAAAUAAAAAAGAAAUAUAUCAUUUCGUAUGCCAUCUCUUUCCCUCACUCUCCCUCUUCUUCUUCUCCUCAUGACCUAGCCGCCCAUUAAGGAUCUCACCGAUGUUUGUCUUUUGCUUUCUUGGCGUCGUUUACAGUUCAAGUCCCGACGAAACUUGGAGGAGUUUGAGUCACAUUGUGCAAAGUUGUUCGACGUUGGUUGCAAGCUGACAUCCUUCUUCGUUUGUGCAUCGUUUCUGUUCUCAGUUCGUCUAAGAUCUACCUCACCACUGAAGAGUCGUCGCUGUAGCUAUUCAUUGUGCCUCGUUCUCUGUCGUAAAGCACCACCCUCGUGUAGCCGUUCUCCGUCGUUACGCUUCUCCAACUCUGUCUUAGUCCACGCUGGAAACGAAUUCGAGCGUCAGAUUUAGUCCCAAGCCACACGUGUCGAUCUACUCCUUGCUAAGCCAUUUCCUGCCUUUAGCCGUUGUUGAUCACUCCUUGGUGAGUUUUGAUUGGGUUUAGGUAUACCCAUCAAAUAGUAAAUAUUGGUCUCUAAAAUACAUUUACUUUCUAUUAAAGUUGUAUUUUAUGUUGAAGGUGUUAUUGGGGAAACAAUUUGGGUUCACGACAAGUUUGGUUUGGAGUUCAAUUCUCCAUUUACUUAGGUUAUGUUCAAUUCUCCAUUUACUUAGGUUAUGUUCAAUUCUCCAUUCAAUUCUCCAUUUACUUAGAUUACUUGUGGAAUUCACGCCCAAACGAAUUCUCCAUUUACUUAGUAACUUGUGAAAUUCACGCUCAAACGAAUUCUCCAUUUACUUAGUAACUUGUGAAAUUCACGCUCAAACGAAUUCUCCAUUUACUUAGUAACUUGUGAAAUUCACGCUCAGUAAAACUUGUGGAAUUCACGCUCAAACGAAUUCUCCAUUUACUUAGUAACUUGUGAAAUUCACGCUCAAACUCUUAGAUUUGACUUUUUUCUAUCUCUACUAUCAAUAUAAUUAAAUAAUUCCAUUUGACUAUUACUUAACUAUAUAAUUCCAAACUCUUAUUAAAUAUGUUUAUUAUGUAUUAUUUAAAUUUAUACUAGCAAAAUUGUUAGUAAAUUAUUUAUGAUAUAAUGGUAUAACUAAUUGAGCAACUAAAAGAUAUAUAUUCCAUUAUCACGGAGAAAGUUGGUGCAAUCUCGUGCAUCAAUAAAAUCCUAUAUCAAUUUACUUAGGAUUUAAUAAUGUUGAAACAUGGUUUGUAAAAUACAUUGUAUUUUUCAAAUCUGCACGAGCUGUCCCAUGAUGGAUUCAUUAAAAUACAUUGUCUAUGAAUUACCCUAGAAUUCAGUAACUGCACGCAUCCGUCGUUUGGUAAAUAUGUUAUUUCCAUCGGUUUUUGCUAUACUUUCAGAUGCUAUCUUAAAAUUUGCUAUUUCCCUACCGUUAUCUCUAAGGUUUAGCUUUUGUUGUGACGACAUGGUAAAAUUUGAUUUGGUCCAAGUUUCUCAUUUAACAAGUAUAUCAAUCAUGUUUCACUUUGUGUUGAUGGUAUGUGUUUUUUUGCAUGUACAUUAUUAUUAUUAGACUGCAUAAAAAGAAACGCAGCAAUGAUGAACACAAAAUGACUCAAGGUAGAUAAGUAUUUGGUAUUUUACUUAUACCAAUGCUAAUAUAUUGUUGAUAGAUAAUUAAAGACAUUGAGAGUACACUUAUUUAGGCAUAUAUUGUGAAGUAGAGAGAUGAGCCUCAUAUUAAUGUUUCUCCUCGUACUGGAGAACAGGUUCAAAAGAUUGGAAGUUAUACACUACGCCUAAGGGUCGGAUAGUCGUAGAUGCCGACACCUUGACCUUAUAUGUCCAAUUUAUUUUUCCAGCGUUUAUAGCCUCCAACACAAGCUCAUAUACUGUCCCUCCAAGAGGAGAAAAUGGGUCAACAAAUCCUGCAAAUAAACCAUUCACCACACGCACGAACUUCAGAUUUUCACCUGUUUUCUUGUUAUGGUCAUCCACUGUUAAGUUUCCUAUUUCUUGCACUUGCGGAUCAUUGAUAUCCUUAAUCGGUUCAAAAGGGGAUGUGAACGACAUUUUUAAUGGCUUUUUUAAUUUGUACUUGGAAGAAACUUUCUAAGGAUGAUUUAUGCUCUAUAAUAUUGAGAUGCUUGGUAUUUAUAGUCGAGGUUGAACUUUAGAUAUUGAUAACUCCGAAUCUAAUAUGAGGAAGGAUGUCCUUAAUUAAAACAAGGGCUAAUAGGGCAUCCCUAUGGACUAAACAAUUCAUUUGUUUGGAGACAACAUCACUGUAGUACUAUAUAUCAAUCAAACAAUGUUUUUUGUGCGGCUAGUAAUAUAUAACUCAACAUCAAAUUUUCAUUUCAACUCUUGUUAUUUCAUGCUCCUGUGAUAACCAUUUUGCCAUUUUUAAGACUUUAGCCUAUAAGAUUUAAUUAAAACCAUAAACUCUCUAUGUUUGCCAUCCAUUUUUUACUAAAUAUUUUUAAAAAAUUAAGUUAAUUAUUUGAUAAUCAACAAAUACAAUACUUGGGAGGAAUUUUCUAGUAUUUUUUUUCUAUUUUUUCACAUUAUGAAUUAUAAAUGAGUAUUUGAAAUUCUUUAUUUAACAACUUGGCUUCCUCUUUUUCAUUUAAGUGAAAUAAAAUUUCUAUUCAUUUCAUUAGUAUUGACCUUAGCUUAGUAUAUAAGAAAUUGAGUUGUUACAUAUUCAACUGCAUAACAAUGUAUUAGGUGUAUCAAGUGGGUUGGAUUCGUUUUUUUGUCAUUUUUACAAAAGUAAAUAGGUCUGUGAAAUGAAUCUUAAUUUUUAAACUUAGUUUACAAGACAUAUAAGAUGUGCCCUAAUAUUAACUUGAAUGAAGACGUGCCGUUGGAUAUUAAUUUAUUCCUUAGGGAUGUUUAACUUUUAAAUAAAUAUAGCUGGUGUUUGUACUUGUACGUGUAUACUACAAAAAUGAAUGGCCCAUAUUGUGUUCAUACAUAAAUAUUCAGGGUGUUAUAUAUGCUGUCAGUAAACGAGUUUAUUACAAUCAUGUAUUUUGUGAUGUUAAUAUACAUGUUUUAUUUUGUGAUAUGAGUAUACAUGUUUGUAUAGACAUAAUGUUUAUAAUAGAAUGCAUAAAAAGAAAAGAACCAUCAUGAAUGCACAAAGAACAACAAGCGUUGUUUGAAGAAUUGACAUGUGUAAUCAGAAUUAAAUUAUUGUAAACCAGAGGAGUGUGUUGAAAUACAUGACGAAGGGAAAGCAGAACGGAAUUGAGAUUCGUGAACCGCAAAAAAAGUAGAAAAAGACGUCGGUGUCAGAUUGAAAAUUGACGGAAGAAAAUGAGUUUAAUAUAACAACUUGGAUCCAAAACACUCAAUAUCGAUGACAGUAACAUCUCAGUACUAUUUUAUUUAUAUUAUGCUACCAUUUUUGUUAGACAACGGUGGUAAAGGGUACAACUUAUUUAAGCUUGUUCCCAAGUAGAGGGAUGAUGCCAAUAUUAUGGCUUGUUGUAUGGGAGAACAGGUUCGAAAGAUAGGAAUACAUGCCUUAUUAGGCAGCCUGAAUAAACCUUUUCCAAUUUGGUGGCAUAUGUCCAAUUGAUUUCUUCAUUAGUUUUAGCUUCCAGCACAAGGUGAUAUAAUAUUACUUCAGUAAACCCAGGCCCAAUAUAUUUGUCACUCUUCAAACCAUUCACCACACGCACAAACUUCAAUUUCUCCCCAGGGUUAUGGGAGUCAUGGUCUUCCACCGCUAACUUCCCUAUUAUUUGCACAUGGGGAUCAUUUAUAUCUAUAAUAGGUUUCAAACGAUGAUGGAUCUCUUCAAUACUCAUUAUACAAUACCUUUUUAAUUCCCUAGACGUUGUAAGGUCGAUUUGUAGCGUUCAAUGUUGAGACAAAGCUUGGUAUUUAUAAUUGUUGUUCAACCUUAGACGAUAUCGAUAACCUCCAAUCUAAUUCACAUACAUUGAACUGAUCCUUAUUUAAAACAAGACCUAAUACAACCUUCCAAUAAUAGAUCAAGGGGAUAGCUUCCAAUGCAUUUCAUUUGUUUAUAGAUAAAAUUAUUCCUCAAAACAAUGCCUUUUAAUUUGUGAGAUAUUAUUGCUUUGUACAUAAUUCAGUAACAAAUUUUUAUUUUCUUGCUGUCUCAUGCCCCCAUCUGCUCCAACCAUUUAAAGUUUUAUAUUUACAAAAUGCACCAAAAUUUUAUAAUAUUGAAUUUUGGGUUAUUUUUUUAAGGGUAAUUUAUGUUGUUUUUUAUUUUUUAUUUUUAUUUUUUACCUUUUGCAUUUUUGUUUGUAUAAUGGAAGUAAACUUUAAAUGUUGAAAAGAUAAUUAGAUUAGUAACAAUCUCAACUUGGUUUUGAAAAUUUUGGGUAAUUACAAUCGUGGUCUAUCAAAGAUGGACAAUAAAGUUUGAUUGUAUUUAUAAAUAUGUUUGUUCAUUUUCAAUAUUUCAAAAAACAACCCAAAAAUUAAAUUAAAGCAUAAUUCAUUCAUAGAAAAUAACCUCAUUUAAGGAUAGAGUUCCAAUCCAAUCCACACCAAAAAGAAAAAAGAAAAAAGAAAAAGAAGAAGAGAAGACAAGGAAAAGUAGAAGAUGAACAAUAAAGAUGUAACAUGGAACUAUUUAAUGUUGACAAUGAAAGUUUAUAGACUAGGUCGACACAAGAAUAAGAAAAUAUAUGAUUCUUUCCCAUUUGUGAACAAAAGGAAGAGAUUCAUAGUUACCAAUUUUUAAACUUAAUAAUGCUUUUGCUCCAAAUACAAAUAAACACAUUUAAUUUCGUCUUUACCUCCUACACUAUUCUCUGAACCACUAAAACAUUAUCAAAUAGUUCUUCUUACACUAUUAAUGGGGGAGAGAGAUUUGUAAAUGAGUUUGAGGGUUUCUUUCACUCUCUAUCUAUCACACUCAAACUUGUUGUUGCAUAAGACUCUUAGACGUUGUCUCCAGUUUGGGAAUGAACCAUUAUAAUUUUCAAUGUAGUUUAUUCUCAUUUUUUCUUUAUGCUUUAUUAUUUUCCAAUUUUAUAAUCCGUAUUGUUUGUUUGGUUCCAACCCAUGUAGUAUAAGUUUGAGAUAUAAGUUAGUUUAUUGUGCAUUUAUAAUUUAUAUCUCUGCCUAAAUUUCCAACAAGUUCCUCCUAACUUGGACGAUGCCUAGAUUUCUUUUUUUAAUUCAAGUGUUAAAAUAAAACUUAUAUCUUCUUUUUAAAGUCUCAUAAUUUCAUUAUUCAUAAGCUUGACGUUCGGAAUGCUACUCUUAGAAGAAAGCUGAUCUGUUCUAUUCUGAAAGACAACUACUCUCAAAACUCAAACAUUAGGGUGAGUAAAUUUGUCUUAAGGAGACAACGUGAAUUCGUUGGGCUCAUAUCUAUAAUACAUAUAUGAGUUUCUCUUUACUGUGAUAACAAUAUUGAUAAUACUUUCUUCACUCGUUUUUCUAAUUUUAAUUCAAUUUUCCUAUGUUGAUUCCAAAAGUGAAUAGGUUACCACACCUUAAAUGCGGGAGUCAAAGUUAUGUACAUUAUUUUGAUUCAAAAGAUUUUGGUUAGUGAACCCUAUUCAUAAAUAACUUUGAAAAUAAAACUUUAUAUCCAAUUGGGAAUAGAAUAAUAAGGACAUAUAAAUUCUCUUUUAACAAUCGUCAACACAGAAAGAUAAUUCCUAAACAAUUUUUAAACUAAUCGUUUUUUACAUUUUCAUCUUUACAUUCUACACUUUUUCUCAACCAAUAUAAAGGAGCAAGUUGGUAUAUAUGUACAUGUGAAAUAUAUAUUUCUUGAGUUAACGAGUUAUUGCAUUCAUGGACUUUAUGAUCAUAAUAUGUAUUUACAUGUAUAUUGUAACGGCUCAACUUUCUAUGAUUAAACUGAAGCAUAACGAGUUAAUGAGUAUGAGAAUUGAGAAGGGAACACAAUUAGUUUGAUUGAAACCCUAUCUUACAAAAGUUUACUUCCAUUCUAGAAAGAAAAAUGCAAAAAGUAAAAAAUAAAAAGAAAAAAAUAAAAAACAACAUAAAAUACCCUUUAAAAAAUAACCCAAAAUUCAAUAUUCUAAAAUUUUAAUUUGCUGCAUUAUGUAAAUAUAAAACUUUAAAUGGUUGGAGCAGAUGGGGCAUGAGACAGCAAGAAAAUCAAAAUUUGUUGCUGAAUUAUGUACAACACUAAAGCAAUAUCUCACAAAUUAAAAGGCAUUGUUUUGAACAAUAAUUUUGUCUACAAACAAAUAAAAAUGGAUUGGAAGCUAUUCCUUAAGAAUUUUGGAAAAUGAGUUCCUAUAAAAAAAUUUGACGUUUUGAAAACGUCAAGAAUUUAAUUGAUAUUUUUUGACGUUUUUAAAACGUAAAAAAAAAAAAUGCAUAUUACUUGACGUUUAAAAAACGUCAAGAAUGUCAAAUUUAUAAAUAUUCUUGACAUUCUAAUAAUGUCAAAAAUUUAAUACAUAUUCUUGAUUUUGAAAAAAUGUUGAAUUUAAUACAUGUUCUUGACUUUGAAAAAAUGUCAAGAAUUUAAUAGAUAUUCUUGAUGUUUAAAAAAAGUCAAGAAAUCUGAAAAUUGAAAAUUCUUGACGUUUUGUCUUUGAAAUCACCUAUUUCUUGACGUUUUUUUCUAAAAAACGUCAAGAAAGGAAAACAACAACCGUCAAGAAAGCCCAUUUUUCUAGUAGUGCUUAAUCUAUUAUUGAAAGGUUGUAUUACGUGUCUUGUUUUAAAUAAGGAGUUCAAUGUAUGUGAAUUAGAUUCGAAGUUAUCAAUAUCGUCCAAUCUAUGUGAAUUAGAUUUGUGGUUAUCGAUAUCGUCUAAGGUUGAACAACAAUUAUAAACACCAAGCUUCGUCUCAACAUUGAACGGUACAAAUCGACCUUAUAACGUUUAGGGAAUUAAAAAGGUACUGUAUAAUGAGUAUUGAAGAGUCACGUCAUCGUUUGAAACCUAUUAUAGAUAUAAAUGAUCCCCAUGUGCAAGCACUAGGGGAGUUAGCGGUGGAAAACCUUUACUCCAAGAACUCUGGGGAGAAAUUGAAGUUUGUGCGUGUGGUGAAUGGUUUGAAGAGUGACAAAUACAUUGGGCCUGGGUUUACUGAAGUAAUAUUAUAUCACCUUGUGCUGGAAGCUAAAACUAAUGAAGAAAUCAAUUGGACAUAUGCCACCAAAUUGGAAGAGGUAUCAGGCGGCCUAAUAAGGCAUGUAUUCCUAUCUUUUGAACCUGUUCUCCCAUACUACAAGCCAUAAUAUUGGCAUCAUCUCUCUACUUCGGAACAAGCUUAAAUAAGUUGUACCCUUUACCACCUUUGUCUAACAAAAAUGGUAGCAUGAUAUAAAUAAAAUAGUACUGAGAUGUUACUGUCAUCGAUAUUGAGUGUUUUGGAUCCAAGUUGUUAUAUUAAACUCAUUUUCUUCCGUCAAUUUUCAAUCUGACACCGACGUCUUUUUCUACUUUUUUUGCGGUUCACGAAUCUCAAUUCCGUUCUGCUUUCCCUUCGUCAUGUAUUUCAACACACUCCUCUGGUUUACAAUAAUUUAAUUCUGAUUACACAUGUCAAUUCUUCAAACGCUUAUUGUUCUUUGUGCCUUCAUGAUGGUUCUUUUCUUUUUCUGCAUUCUAUUAUAAACAUUAUGUCUAUACAAACAUGUAUACUCAUAUCACAAAAUAAAACAUGUAUAUUAACAUCACAAAAUACAUGAUUGUAAUAAACUCGUUUACUGACAGCAUAUAUAACACCCUGAAUAUUUAUGUAUGAACACAAUAUGGGCCAUUCAUUUUUGUAGUAUACAUGUACAAGUACAAACACUAGCUAUAUUUAUUUAAAAGUUAAACAUCCCUAAGGAAUAAAUUAAUAUCCAACGGCACGUCUUCAUUCAAGUUAAUAUUAGGGCACAUCUUAUAUGUCUUGUAAACUAGGUUUAAAAAUUAAGAUUCAUAUCAUAGACCUAUUUACUUUUGUAAAAAUGACAAAAGAACGAAUCCAACCCACUUGAUACACCUAAUAUAUUGUUAUACAGUUGAACAUGUAACAACUCAAUUUCUUAUAUACUAAGCUAAGGUCAAUACUAAUGAAAUGAAAAAGAGGAAGCCAAAUUCUUAAAUAAAGAAUUUCAAAUACUCGUUUAUAAUUCAUAAUUUGAAAAAAUAGAAAAAAAAUACUAGAAAAUUCCUCCCAAGUAUUGUAUUUGUUGAUUAUCAAAUAAUUAACUUAAUUUUUUAAAAAUAUUUAGUAAAAAAUGGAUGGCAAACAUAGAGAGUUUAUGGUUUUAAUUAAAUCUUAUAGGCUAAAGUCUUAAAAAUGCCAAAAUGGUUAUCACAGGAGCAUGAAAUAACAAGAAUUAAAAUGAAAAUUUGAUGUUGAGUUAUAUAUUACUAGCCACACAAAAAACAUUGUUUGAUUGAUAUAUAGUAGUACAGUGAUGUUGUCUCCAAACAAAUGAAUUGUUUAGUCCAUAGGGAUGCCCUAUUAGCCCUUGUUUUAAUUAAGGACGUCCUUCCUCAUAUUAGAUUCGGAGUUAUCAAUAUCUAAAGUUCAACAUCGACUAUAAAUACCAAGCAUCUCAAUAUUAUAGAGCAUAAAUCAUCCUUAGAAAGUUUCUUCCAAGUACAAAUUAAAAAAGCCAUUAAAAAUGUCGUUCACAUCCCCUUUUGAACCGAUUAAGGAUAUCAAUGAUCCGCAAGUGCAAGAAAUAGGAAACUUAACAGUGGAUGACCAUAACAAGAAAACAGGUGAAAAUCUGAAGUUCGUGCGUGUGGUGAAUGGUUUAUUUGCAAGAUUUGUUGACCCAUUUUCUCCUCUUGGAGGGACAGUAUAUGAGCUUGUGUUGGACAUAUAAGGUCAAGGUGUCGGCAUCUACGACUAUCCGACCCUUAGGCGUAGUGUAUAACUUCCAAUCUUUUGAACCUGUUCUCCAGUACGAGGAGAAACAUUAAUAUGGGGCUCAUCUCUCUACUUCACAAUAUAUGCCUAAAUAAGUGUAUUCUCAAUGUCUUUAAUUAUCUAUCAACAAUAUAUUAGCAUUGGUAUAAGUAAAAUACCAAAUACUUAUCUACCUUGAGUCAUUUUGUGUUCAUGAUUGCUGCGUUUCUUUUUAUGCAGUCUAAUAAUAAUAAUGUACAUGCAAAAAACACAUACCAUCAACACAAAGUGGGACAUGAUUGAAUGUACGUUUCUUUUUAGCUCGUAAAGUGUAAUUAGAUUUAUUUAUAUUUGUUGUAAUUUGAAAUGUUCAAAUUCACUUUCGAAGUUAGCUUAAUAUAUAGUGAUACAUUAUAAUAUAAAGUUUAUCAAAUUUUAUUAUAUAAAUUUAAUUUUGGAUAAAAUUCAAAAUUAAUUUAUGAGAGAUAAAAUAUUUGAAUGAGUUCAAAUAUUAAUUUAAUGUGAAUUAGAUUCAUAUUAAAAUUAUUGGUUAUGAGAUAAACUUAUAUUUGAAUAUGAUUCAAAUUUAAUUUAAGUUAAAUAUAAAAUAUUUAAUUUAGCUAUUAAUUAAUUAGAGAAUUAAUUACUAGUUUAAUUUUAUUUAAUUAAAUCUAUAAGAUAUUGCAAAUAUAUUCGUUCAAAUAAGAUUUGAAUGAAAUAUUAAUUAAAUAUGAUUUAAUGAAUUAUAUUAAUAUAAAUCUAUAAGAUAUAGGAAAGAUAUUCAUUCAAAUAAGUGUUGAAUGAAAUAUUAAUUAAACAUGAUUUAAUUAAAGGAAAUUUUCAAAAAUGUUUAUGAGACGUUGGUUAAGUGUGACUUCCAAGUCUGAGAAUGAUUGAAUAUGAUUGGACGCUGGUAGAAAUCCUGUCACACCCCGCCCCGCAGACCUGUUUGCUUGUCUCGGGAGCGCAGUGCGACUUGAGCAUUCUUGAUGCGCCCAAACGCCAAAGACACCCGUCUUAACUUUCUUAAUGUAGCUUAUUUGCCAAAAUACUUAACUUCACAAACAUCCUUUAGGCGAUAAAGAACUUAAUGCGGAAAAAUAAAACAAACCUUAAACUUUUAUUCCUUAACAAGGUGUUUAGUACAUGAACAUAAUGAUACAACACUUAACAAAAAGAUUAAAAAAAAAAAAAAAAAAAAACAACGCUUAAUUAAACUUAAACGGCUAGCAGCUUCUUGUCUAGCAAGCCCAAACCUCCUCUCCUCUUGACCUCAACGCUUAAGUCCUGGAAGAUAAAUUUUGAAGGCAUAAGUCUAAAAGACUUAGUGAAGUUUUAUGAAAUCAUUUUCACAAUACCUUUUCAUAAACAUCAUUUUGCAUAAACAACAUCAAAUUAUUUCAUUUUGCAUAAAUCUUUCUUUAUGCUUAACAAACACAUUUAAAAUAUAAUAAUUUUAGAUAAACAUACAUUAGUUAAUAGCCAUUCCUUUCGACAAGGAUCUCAAAUUGUUCUCUACGCUUGGUCUCAUUACCUCGCGUUUGACUACUGUAUCUAUAGUAUCCAAGAACAUAUAAAUUCGUCCUUGUUGUUCAAACCGCUAAGUAUUAUACGCUCCUUUCAACGCAUAAGCUAGCUUCUUAUCACCAUGUAGUCCGUACACCCCAUGAUGACCUUGAUUCUUUAUGUGCACAUAAAAGUUAGCAUCAUCUCAAAGAAUCAACUAAUGGUUUGAAAACCAUUUCAUAGCAUUGAAAUUAUAAUCAUUAAAUCAAGCUUUAACAUUAUAAAUUAUGCUUGAACACAUAUAAACAUUUCUUAGAAAUCUCUUUUUGAAACACUUUCUCAUUUGAAAUCAUCUUUCAAAAUAGUAAAGAAAAAUCACAAGAAAGAUUUUAACAUAAAAACAUUUAAGAAAGUCACUCACAAAUCAUAGAUCAAACGCUUGGCUGAUAUGCUUAUCCGAUUUCUUCUUGUCCAAAACCUCUUUGAUCUAACACACCACGCUCAACAACCUCCAAUGCCUAGAAACUUAUUGUAGGUCAGAACCCUUCUUCCACUUUAAAGCUUAAAAGCAUAAAAUCUAGAACUCAAAUGAAAAUAUUUCCUUCUACAAAGUAGUUUCAAAUUGUCUUAAUACUUUCGUCUCAAAAUUUCAGCUUUAGAUUUCAAUGGAUGAACUCUAUAGCUCUCUAGAACUUCACUUUGUUCAUAAUCACCUGUAUUCUGACCUUCCUUGCUUUCUACAACUAAAACUCAACCAUCUCUUACUCAAAUUAAACGUGCAGUCUCAUCUUAGAAAAUAUACUCAAAAUGAAAACUUUUGAGAGUAAUUUCACUCAAAACGCACAAGUGGAGUGUGAGAAAUUCAAUAUUGAAACUGGCCUAUUUUUAGAGUCCAUUCCAUAAAUUUACGUUAACACCUCAUCCUUACUUAAAUUCACCUUAAACCUUAUUAAGACACCUCCUGGUUACUUUUACAUCUCAAAAUGCAUGUUAUCAAGGCUUUGAGACUUCACUAAAUCCUUAAAUUACUUGUCUUUAUCAUGCCACAUAGUUGUCCAAAACGCAUAGCUAGCUUCCAUGUCUAUCUCGCCUAAUUUCUCGCCCAGACUACAUAACCCAACUUAGAAAAGUUAUAAAUUAAAAUCUAUAACUCUUUUAAUCCAACUUCCUUCUACACAGUUGCUUUAAGAUGAGUUAUAUUUCUGACCUCAAAAUUUCAUAAUAAAACGCCGAACAAUGUGUUCUAUAGCCUUCUACGAGUGCACUUUACUCAUAUUCACUCGCGCACUGACUUUCUCGUCUUCUCUUGUCCAAAACGCCAACUUUCUCAAAUAAAAAAUUUCCAUCCGCCUUCCUCAAUAUAUUAGGCUUAAUUUUUAAAUUUUCAAGACUAAUUUGAGUAAAAAAUCUCAAAUAAGUUGUGAGAAACUCCUUUCUAAAGUUAGCUAAAAUGCCAAUCUCUAUAAUCCUUCUUUCUCAUCAACCUUAUACACUAAAAAAAAAAAAAAAAAAAUCUAACUUCUAUAACUUUUUCACCAAACCAACCAAAAUGCCUAAAGUUAUAUUUUUUUAUACUUAACCAAAAUUCUCCCUUCUUUUGAUCCUCUUAAACUCUUAAGCUUCCACAACAUGACCUUCCUUCUUUUCACUCAUCACAACACACUUACCAAAACACUUCUCAAGCCUACUUCCUUGUCUUAAAUUUUCUCAAAACUAAUCCUUUCAAGCUUUUUAGAAAAUCUAAGAUAUCUAAUGUUUAGGUCUUACAAAUCCCACAUAACUCAUGUGAUACUUGUGAGACCAAAUCCCAGGUCUAGACAAGGGGAGAAUCCCAGAUCUCAAUGUUGAGCUUGUUGCAAAAUGAUUCCAGUGUAUGACAUUGUAGCACUCGCUACGUGAUUGUUUAAAACUGUUGUGGUUAAUGCGAUGUUCGAUGUGGCUUGAUAUGAUGUGCUUGCCUAAUGUGGUUUGACCUUAUUACUUGUCAUUUCUAUGUGUUUUCUCCAAAAAAGUUUUCUCAAGAACUUAUCACUCACUAAGUCCGUUUGACUUAUGUUUUAAGUGUCACACACCGCUCCAAAGUUAUUUCCAGUGACUAAGUGGAGGCAUGUCGCCAGACCUGUAUCGUGUUCUUAUUGUAAGGUAAUGUGUUGAAUGCCUAGUAAGUGAAACAUCUUACUUAAUUUUCCCUUUUGCGAAGUCCUUGUCUCGUACUUAGACUUUGGUAAUUCAGCGAAAAAGUUACAACUUAAGACUUUGCUUCAUCGCGUACUCUUUACACAAUACAAACCAACUUUAGCUUCUUCUCGAGUCAUCGACAUCUCACUCGAAGGCAGCUCUCUAUAAUCCUUUUAUCUAUGCGCUGCAAAACACUGAUCAUUGUAGCAGGUACCUAAACAUGUAAAGGCACACCUUAGCCCCUUGCCCUAGUUGCCUAACAACCUCUCUUAGCGGACCGCGCUUAGGGUUACAUGUUCCCUGACUCAGCUCUAUGAACUUUCUGGAUAUUGUACUCGCCUUCCUUCUGAGCUGAGUCAUACACUCAGAGGAGUGAUGUGCUUACUAGCUAGCUCAUUAAACUGGCUCAUCGGAUGUAAUAGAAAUUUCCAUGACCAACACACCAUGUAAGAAUAUGAAGACAUUUUGUCUUCCUUCCUUAGCUUGGCCAUACAACCUUAGAUCAAUAAUUUGCAUGGCCUCAACCCCUAACAACAUAUAUACACUCCAUCCCAAACCCUUCUCUAUUUUGGAACAUCCCUUCUCCCUAGCGGCUCUCUCAUUUUUUCGUUUCACACUCUUAACUUCCUCCUGCCAUAUUUUUCCUCUCAAAUUCUCCUCUAACCUCUUUUUCCUUGAUUUUGAGCUUUAUAAUGGUCUUCUCAUUUAAGAGUCACUUCCAUGCUUUACACGCAUCUCUUCGACAUCAGGGUAACACCUACCAACAAUCCAAAAAUGUCUUAGUCCAAAAAUGGACAUAAACAUAACAUACAUAAAUCAUCCAUCAGCCUCUAUACAGUACAGUUUCAAUCUUAAUCCAUUUACUUUAGCUUAGCAAAAUUUUCCUUAUUGCAAAUAAAUCAUAAAUUCAACCUAAACAUAGCCAAAAUUAAUUAGUAAAUUGAUGAUUGUUUUACCAAAUUUAUCAAGUGUGGUUGAACCUAUAUUCAAAGUUAUUAGUGGAAAAGGCAAAAAAAAAAAAAAAAAAAAAAAAAUCCAAAAGUACUCCUAUGGCACCUUCAAAUAUCAAGAAAACAUCGUCUUUAAUCCUAUCUAAAAUUUGAAAUUAGUUUUUGUUAGGAAGGUUGCAAUAGAUAGCAUAGCAUUUUAAGAACAUGAUAUAGCAAAUAUAGCACAUUGUUUUAAAAUUUUGCAAACAUGACAAAAUUUUCACUUUUAAAAAUACUCUCCAACUUCAAUUUGUCAUUAAUAUUAUUCCUAAACUACGCUUCAAUAAUUUUUUUAUCUUCCUCUUUUUAAUGUUCUACUCCUUUCUUAUUUAUUCUCUCACUUUUUAAGGACCUAAUCAUCAUUUCUUAUACAGAAAAAUUAUUUUUUGUCUUAAUCUUGAUUUUAAGAUAUCAAUAGUAUAGUAAUUAUAAUAUAAAAUAUAAUGAUUGUUGAUCAUAGUAAUUUAACUUUACUUUCUUUGAUGGGUAUUUAAAGUUAAAUCUGAUUAUAAAUAAUUUUGUUUUAUUUUUUUUACAUUGGUUUUACUUUGUUUCAGUUUUGUAUAUUAAUGUUGUGAUGUACUUAUAUUAUAUGUACUAGUUGGUUGAUAUACCUACUACAUGAUUUUUCAUUUUUUUUUUCAAAUUUCAUGCAGUUCAUUAUAGUACUAUUAAGUAAAUGAAUGAUAUAACUCAGUUUAUCAUUAUUGAGUAUAUUAACAAUUUAUUAUUAAAGCAUAUCAUCAUAUGAGUAAACUGAAUCAUUAUCAAGUAUAUGAAUCAAGUUUACAAGUGUAUAUCAAUAGUGUAUCAACUGUAUAAGUAGGACUUUAAGCAUAUCUAGUGUAUUUAAUCAAUCAAAUGUAUAUGUGAAGAAUAUUAAGUGUAUCUGCAGUACAUCAGGUAUAUCAAACAUAUCAUGUGCAUAAAACGUAUCAAAUUUGUUGUGUCACACCUUGCGUCGCGUACGUCUUUUCUUGUUACACAAGACGCAACGUUGCUUGAAUAUCUUUGAUACGUUAAACACCAAAGAUACUCGGUCUCAAAAGUCCUUAAGCUUUGCUUAAUCACCUGCUCACUUCUUACUUAACACUUUCAUACUUUAGGCGAUAAACAACUUAAAAAAUAAGAAAAAAAAAAUAAACCAAAACUUUUAUUAACUUUAAACAAGGAAUUCUACAAUACUUAAUACAAUUUACAUAGAUACAACAUUUAAACUUAAAGGUAAAACACCUGACAACUCUUCUCGCCUAGCAACCCUUCAACUUUCCUUUCUUGGCCUUAAAGUCUGAUUCCUGGGAGAUCAAACUAUAAAACAUAAGUCAAUAGACUUGGUAAGGUUUUAAGAAAACCUUUUUGUAAAAUACUUUUUGUAAAUAUUAUUUCACAAAACAUGUCAAAUCCGAUAAAAUCAUAUUUUCAUAUAAACAUAUUAUUUCACAUAAACACAUUAUUUAGCAUAAGCACACAUUAAUCAAUAAUCAUUCCUUUCACCAAGGAUCUCGAAUCGCAUUCCCUACGCUAGGUCUCAUCACUUCGAGUUUAAACUCUUGUAACUAUAGCAUCCAACAAUAUACAAAUUCAUCCUUGUUACUCAUGUCGAAGCACAAUACACAUCUUUUUUGUUCCACCUCAUCUCCCAUGCACAUCUAUAAUACAUGAUUGUCUUUACUUCUUAUGUACACAUAAUAGCCAGCUCAUUGUUAAGAAGUAGACUAACGAUUUUGAACACCUUUUCAUGAACAAGUAUAAAGAACAUACUUUGAAACAUAUAAACUUUUCAUAAAAAAAAAAAAAAAAAGAAACUCUUUAGAAACUUUCUUAUUGAAAUUAUCAUAACAAAUCAUCAAAAAAAACUUGGGAAGAACGUUUGAAAUCAAUUAAAUACUUGAAGAAAACAGUCACAACUUUUAGACCUAAACCCAAAAUGCUUCUCUUCUUUCUCUUCUAGUGUAAGCACUUUGCCGGUGCAUUAGUUCUUAAGUUUUCUCUUGAAUUUUGUAGAGUAACAAUUCUCAAUACUUUAGCUGAGGACUAUUAUUUAUAUUCAUCCUUAAACAAGUUUAGUCACCCUUAAAUUCUUGUCAGCUCAUCAGCUCCUACUCUUAGUGGUUCACGUGUAAGCUUAAGAUUUAACUUAAUCUCUAUACGUGGUCCAUUAAAACACUUAGGAAAUUUUUAGGAAGUUUCCUUACUUCUCGUCUAGUCUUCCAUCUCGCAAAAACACCUUAAUCACGUAACGCUUCCACUAUGAAUUACUCAAAUCGAAUACAUCUUAUCGCGUAGUUCUGCUUCAGAACACUUGGUCAAAAUUUCAACCUUUCUAGUUACGGGUCUCACAUGUUGAGUAUACCAAUGAAGCACAACAAGUUUAUUAGCGAUGCAUCAAGUAUAUCAAACUUAUAAGUGAAGUCUUUAAGUGUAUCAAGAUCUAAAGGGUAUAAAGUGUAUCAAUAGAAUUAAGUGUAACAAGGAGUAUUCGGUGUAUCAAGGUGUUUCAGGUGUAUCAGAUGGUAUCGAGUGUAUCAAAGAGUAUCAUGGUGCAUCAAGUGCAUCAAAGUUCAAAGGUUAUCAAGAAGUAUGACAUGUACAUCAAGUGUAUAAGGAGUAUUAGGUGUAUCAAGGGAUAUUAGGUAUAUUAUAUGUGUAUCAACUGUAUCAACUGUAUCAAAUGUAUAUCAGUGACAAGGGCAUUUGUGAUAUUUUAUAUCUUGAUAUGUGGGUUGGGCUUUGUUUUUGUUAUGUUUGCAAACAAUAAAUUUUUGUGCUAUAAACUUAAUUAUUAUAACUUGUUUUGCUUCUUUUGCAAGUGCUCCUUUUUCUAUUCAAACCUUAAUGAGUAUUAAAAAUGGACUUGAAAAAAAGGUAAAACAAAUUAUAAUAAUUAAGUCUAUAGCACACAAAUUUAUUAUUUUCAAAAAUGGCAAAAACAAAGUUCAGCCCACAUAUACAAUACGUAAAUAUCAUAAAUGCCCUUGUUACUGUUUGAUAUAUUUGAUACAUUUGAUACGCACCUCAUACACCUAAUAUCCUUUGAUACACCUGAUACUCUUUGAUACACUUUAUAUGCAUUUGAUACUUCAUGAUAACCUUUGGACCUUAAUACAUUUGAUGCACCAUGAUACACCUUGAUACAUCUGAUACUCUUUAAUAUACUUGAUAUACAUUUGAUACUUCAUGAUAACCUUUGGACCUUGAUACACUUGAUGCACCAUGAUACUCUUUGAUACACUCAAUACCAUUUGAUACACCUAAUACUCUUUGAUAUACUUGAUAUACAUUUGAUACUUCUUGAUAACCUUUGGACCUUGAUACACUUGAUGCACCAAAUACUCCUUGAUACACCUAAUACUCCUUGAUACACCUAAUACUCCUUGUUACACUUGAUUCUUCUUCACACACUUUAUACCCUUUUGGCCUUUGAUACACUUAAAGCCUUCACUAAUAAGUUUGAUACACUUGAUGCACUGCUAAUAAACUUGUUAUGUUUCAUUGAUACACUCAACAAAUUUGAUAUGCUUUAUGCACAUGAUAUGUUUGAUACACCCGAUGUGCUACAUAUACAAUUAGUAUUCUUCACUAGUACAUUUGAUUUGCUUUAUAAUGAUUCACUUUACUGAUAUGUUGAAAUGCUUUAAUAAUAUAUUGUUGAUAUACUUGAUAAUGAUACACUAGGUUAUAUCAUUCACAUACUUAAUAAUUCUAUAAUGAACUGCAUAAAAUUUGAAAAAAUGAAAAUCACGUAGUAAGUAUAUCAACCAACUAAUACAUAAUAUAAGUUCAUCAGAACACUAAUAUACAAAACGACUUAUACAAAUUAAGUAAAACCAAAACAAAACCAAUGUAGAAAAACAAAACAAAAUCAUUUAAAAUCAGAUUUAACUCAAAAUACACAUCAAGAAAAGUAGAGAAAAUUCAAAAACGAAGUUAGAUUACUCUGAUCAAUAACUAUUAUAUUUCAUAUUGCAAUUAAUGUACCAUUGAUAUUCUAAAAUCAAGAUUAAGACAGAAAGCACAAAUUAUUUUUAUCCCGUAUAAAAAAAAGAUGAUCAAAGCCUUAAAAAAUGGAAGAAGAAAUAAGGGAUGAUUAAGGCAUUAAAAAGAGAAGAAGAAAUAAGUUAUUGAAUGGUAAUUUGGAAAUAAUAACAAAUUUUAGAUGAAAAAUAUUUUCAGACGUGAGAAUUUUGUCGUAUUUGCAAAAUUCUAAAACAAUAUUUGCUAUAUUGUCAUAUUUUCAAAAUGCUACCCACCGCAAGUUUCCUAUUAGAAAUCCCCAAUAAAGCCUAAAAAAGAACACCUACCAAAAUCACCAUCUUAACCAAAACUUGAGUAGCAGCUACAGAGAGCAUCAACGAGCAACGAAAAGCGUCAAGGACGACAACUCAAGGCUGACACUUGGUUUGACUUUGAAAAUCCUGCGCAGGGAGCUCGAUGACGAAGCGGCUCAACUCGACUUCACGAAUCAAGACAUGAUGGAGCGAAGAGGAAGCUUUGGCUCGCGGCUACCUUUGUCGAAUGGAGGUGGGUUCGAUGAUGGAAGUUGUGGCCGGACAGAGCACUGUGAAGAGGGGGCGACAACUGGGUAUUUGAAAGAAAAAGAAAUGAAGAUAAAUAAUGGAAACAUUUUUAAUUGAUAUUUGAUUUAUUAUUGGGUACUUAAUUUUAGAUAUUAUUUUGUAAAUGAUAUCUCCCUCCAUAAUUCUCCUUAUAACUUUUGAAAGUUAGAUUGUUUUAAUUCUAGGAAUUUAAUAUAUGCUGGUUGUCUAAAGUUAUAUGAUUUUAAGUCUUCCAUGGUUUAAUAGUUUGUAUAAAUUAAAUAUAAGUUUUGUACUUUUUUUAAAAAAAAAUUUCUUUUGGUAUUAAUAAUUUAUUUUUAAUUAUUUGUUUUAUGUACUUAAAGUGAGCAUAUCUUCCUUACUGAGAUAUUUUUGGGACAACAACUCUAUGAUCCUUCAUAUUAGACAACUCCCUCGUUCGUUAUACUUUGAAAGCUUUGGGUAUAUAUUGAUCAAUGUAAUUUGCUAAUAGGUUACUUAGUUAAGCGAUUUGUCACUUUCUUUGUUGUGAAUGAGAUAAAUUUUGUGUUGUUGAGAGUUAUGUUGUAUACAAUAGAAGAGAUAUUAUUGCUUCUUGAAAAAAAAAAGAUUAUUUAUUUGCACAUGCGUAAACAAUAUAUACCGAUACAUUUGAUGUCGAUUUUUAAGUAUUUGAUCGUCGUUAAAAAUGGAUUGGACAAUAUGGUAAUUAUUGAAUAAAAUUUGUGACAAACCGAUGCAGAAGACAUUAACAUUGUAGGGCAUCUAUAAUGUCAGUUUAAAACUAACAUCAAAGCAAAAUUUACACUAAAAUGCUUUAAUAACACUUUAAGGUUGUAGCUAGUAGUUCGAGUUAUUUGCAAAACAUAUAGCUUAUAUUGUUUUCUUAAGUUAUUUUGUGACUUUUGGUUGGGUCGGUUAGGUUAAAUGGUUAGUAAGUGUUGUCAAACUAUGGCAAUCCUUGUCAACCCUCACACCCUCUUUUGGGGCCAAGGUUAGGAGUUAGAGAAAGGCUUCAGGAGAGGGUGUGAUAGAAACUACUUAAUAAUUAACAAAAAAAAAAAAAAAAAAACUGGAAGGUGAUGAGAUGAUUAUAUCAUAUAAUCCUACAUAGUAAUUAUAUAAAAAAAAAAGUAAAAUCAUAUAUAGCAAUUAGUAUCAUUUGUAAUUAAAUAAAAAUUAAUAUUAAAUUAAAUAACAAGGAGAUGAUAAAUCGGUAUCAUUAACAAUCAUAUAACAAUGAACAUCAAAUAACAAUCGGACAGUAGUCAAAGAACAGACAAAUCGAUAUUAUUGAUAAUCAAACCAAUUGGAUUGUAGCAAUUAAUUUGUCAUUCUUCCAAAUUUUAAAAUGUUGGAUCAUGAGCUUAAUUUUAAUUUUAUAUUUUUGGAUGAAUGCAAGUGCCUCUAAUUUUAUUAAUAUCAAACUUCCUCAAUUUUCCUUCUUGGAUUAACUAUUUGUCAUCAUUUAGUUUUAGGAUAGAAAGCAGUAGAUAUUGGUUGAUACAAAUGAACCCAAAAAAAUGAUAAAAAUAAAUUGAAUUAAUUUGAGUUAAAUUGAAAAAAAUAAAAAAUAAAAAAGAGAUUAUAAUGUUCUUAUGAGUUGUGGGAAUUAAGGUGUUUUCGGUUUUGAUACACAUCACUUAUAGGGACUUGAUCUCUGAUCGAAAGAGAGAUUGACAAGCAUAGUUACCACUAAACUAUCAAUAAAUAUUAAACAUUAAUUAGUUUUGUUUAUACAUAUAUUAUAAAGAUAAUAAAGUUGAGGGAGAACUCGAUCCUCCUAGGCCUAUACUAAAUUUGUCGGUGCUUAUAGGCACAAUGAUAAUCGGAGAUCACACACAUGAAUACGCACAAAUAAUAGUUAGGAAUGACACGUACAUACAUAUAUGCACAAUACAUUAAACUUUCAAAUAUAUUCAAAUUUUAAAAUUGGAUUCUCAAACUUAGAUAAGUGUAUAAAUCGUAUCAUUAUUACAAGCUGAAUUCAAAUGUUUAAAUAUGGUUUUUGUAAUUUACCCAAAACUAAAAAUAUAAAUAUAUUCAAUACUACUUUUUUUUUAUAUAUAUGGUAGGAACAUUUUUGAUAUACAAAGAUACAAUUUAUUUAAUUAGAAUGUGAGUGAGAAGUAGGGUAGAGAGAUGAGGGUAAAAUAUUAGAUUAGGGGUUGUAGUAUGGGAGAAGAGGUUCAAAAGAUUUGAAUUCAUACCUUAUUCGGCAGCCUACGUAAAGCUCUAACAACUUGGCCACAUAUGUCCAAUUAAUUCCUUCUAUGGUUUUAGCCUCCACCAAAAGAUGAUAUAAUAUUCCUUCAUGAGUACUCCCAGGUUGAACAAAAAUUCCACUUCUCAAACCAUUCACCACAUCCACAAGCUCCAAAUUGUCUCCUGUUUUCUUGUUAUGGUCUUCAACAGCCAACUGUCCUAUGAUUGACUGCACUUGCAGAUCAUCAUUUAUAUCCUCGAUAGGUUUCGAAGUGUGAUAUGCUUCUUCAACACUCAUUAUACAAUACCUUUGGUGGCUAAACAUUUUCUAACCCUUCAUUGAUCUCAAUAUGAUAUUAAUAUUGAGAUCAAGUUUGGUAUUUCUAUAUAACUGUUGUUUUCAACAUCACAUCAUUGAUAACAUAGAAUCUAAUCCACAUCUAUGUAAACUCCCAAUGGAUGGAUUAGGGGAUAGUUUCGAAUCAAUUCAUUUGUUUGGAGACAAAAGAUUAUUCUACCAUCUUAGUCAAACUAUUGAUGCCUUUUUUGUGUGUCAGCAUAAGUUCGAAUCAAAUUUUCAUUUUUCUCUAUCUCAUCCAUGAUGGGAUAACCAUUUGGGUUAUAAAGUUAAUCUUUCAAACACUGUUUAUACUCAUAAGUUUUCUAUGCUUUGUCAUCUGAUAUUUUUCUAAUAAUGUAAUCAAUAGAAAAAAUCAAGUCUAAGUUUAGAAAACUGAGAAAACUAAAAAAUAAAAAGAGUAAAAAAUCAGGUAUUUCUGGAAGAAAAUAGACAAGAGAAAAACCAUAAUUAUAUUGGUAAAUUGGGAUGAAAUAAGUAUAAAUUUUGAGAACAAAAAACUAAUAAUGAAAUUAUUAUCAAAUGGAGUUUGAUGAAUUUAGUUUGAAAUAGACACAGGUCACUGUGAUAUGAGACAGCAAAUAUUUGAUAACCUUUUAGUUCAACAUAGUUUUACCUUGUGGUGGGCUUGUUGUAGUACACUAUAGAGUGACCACCAAUGGCCACAUAUAUUUUCCAAUUAAUGUGCUUGGUAGUAGUUUUAGGCUCCACAACAACAACGUAAUUUAAUGCCUUUUUGUAUCGACAUCAGGUGUGGUAGUCUCGUUUUCACCAUGCGCACCACAUUCAUUAUACAAGAUCUUUGAUAUCCUAAAUUGGUUUCUUCUUCUAGGCAAGAAAAGCAAGUGUUGGGCAGCCAAGGUUAUAAACCCUAGAUAAUCCUAAGAGAAGGGAAAAGAGAGAGAGGAAGGAGAAGGGGAAAAUUUUGUUCUUAUUUGUUCGGUGCGCUUUCUUGUCCACCGCCACAUCAAUUCCUAUCUGAUUUCUCCACCAUUCUUUAGAAAACUUCAGGAGGUUAUGAGGGUUUGAAGUUAGGGUAUUGAAUCUGAAAAUUAUGAAAAAAGUGUGAAAUGUGAUUUUAUUUCUAAAGUUUAGAAUUCAUAAGCAAUAUCUUUUGUACGUCAUCUUAAGCUUAUUAUAGUAAAGACAAGACUAUAUAAGGUUUUGAAGUUCGGUUUUGGUUUGUUUGAUAGGUCAAGAGGAAACAGGUCGAUUUUACAGGCCAGGGAACUAGCUCAAGGUUGUGGUGACAUAACAAAUUUUGAAAAUGAUUCCUAAACGGUUAUUUAUGAUUAAAUGUUUUACAUGCUUGAAUCUGAAUUUAUGAAUAUGAUCCAUGAUUUCUAUUAAUUGUUGCAAUCAUGAGUUUUGAGCUUAGAUUUUCUAAAGAAAUCUAUACGUGAGAACGUGAUUAUUGACUUUCUGAAAAGUAGUUGAAACGGCAUCGUUUUAAGCUUUUCAGUUUUUCUUGAACAAAUUGAGUAAGCUUCAAUUUUACGAAAGAUAAAGAUAAGCAAACAUGACACCGACAAAGAUGACUAAGAUAUUUAAUGAUUUAAUGUUUUCAUGUGAUUUUUUUAGACUUUUAUUGACUACAUGACUAAGAUAUUGAGUUCAAGGUUGUAUGGCACCAUGUGCACACAGGUUAUAUUUUGUUGUUGACGUUGAGUGUAAUAUGUGACAACAUCUUGUCAUGAGUGUUAAGCGGGCCCCACUACGACAAAGAUGAUGGGAGUGCUAGGUAGGCCCCACUACAUCAUAAAGAUAGUAAUAACUCUGGUUGUACUAAGUGUGCAUUACACAACAUAGAUUUGUGAUGUUAGUUAAAAUGUUUAAUAUACUUGAUAUGUCUUGCUAGAUUUAAAUGACAUACUUGUUGAGUAUUUGAGAAAUUUGUUAUCAUUACACGUUUAUAUUUAAUGUUUUGAUUAAACAGAUUUAUAUGUUUAGGGUUUAUCAGGUGUUCUGAUUUGCGGAUGAACAAUUUUCAAUUUAAUCACUCACUGGGUUUUAUAGCUCACCUUUUAAAAAUAUUUUUCCAUUAUCUAGGUAGAAAUCGAGCUCCCAAUGCCUGAUAUGUUGUUAUAGUAUGCUAGAUCGAUUUCUAGUACGUGGGCUAGAGUUGUACAUCGAGUCUAUUUAUGUUGUAAAUGUCUUUGUAAGGAACGAAUAGUUUACCGUUUGUGUAAGCUCUAGAUGUUAUGGUUGUGUAAAACCUAGUUGGAUAUGUUUUUGGUUGUGAUGUCUCUAUCAGGCUAUUUUUCAAAGCACACUGCGUCGGGAGUUCCUAACAUGUGUGUCUGGAGUUUCUAACAUCUCCCGAUGCUAUAUUGACAGCAUCUUCGACGUUUAUACAACGUCGGAAGAUGUCUAGAAACUCGCGACACAUUUUUCUAAUUUGUGUCCCGAUGCAUAUUUAUGCAUCGGAAAAGCCUUUUUCGACGUUUUUCAUAUAUCUCCCGAUGAUUUUAUGCGUCAGGAGAACCCCUUUCUGUAGUGUAAGAAAAAUAAAAAUAUACUAAACCCUCAUUUAAACAUGAAGCAAGGAAGUUAUGCAUGCAUUGUUACAAGAAUUCAAGAUUAAUCAAUCAUGCAUAGUAUACUAAUAUUCUCAAAAGCAGCUAAGUGUUUAACUCAAGUUUUUACCAUUGUUAUUACGCUUAAGCUUGUAAUCAAUUAGAUAUUCUAAGAAGAAAACACUCAAUUGAGAAUCAUUUUAAAAUAAUUUUGUUCAAGUAAAAUCAUGCAUUGAUACGUUAUUUUGACUCACUAAGCAUGCUCAAAAGGGGUUAAUAUGCCUUAAUUUUGCUUUCUCCCUACACUAGUUCGAGAAGAAUUUCUUCCUUAUACAAAGCCCUCCAUUGAACCAUCAAGCUAACUAGGAAAUACUAGACUUUGAGAUGCAUUGUUCUACUGAGGUAAAAAGGAAGUUUGCCCACAUAGAAGUUCAUACUACACUUAUAACAUUGGGCAGCCCUUAUAAUCACGAAGGAAUAACUAACACUUCAACCUAAACAUAUAGUUACUCUUUUAUAUAUAUAUAUAUGUUUCUCUUUUUCUUUUAUGCUCAAGCUUCACCUUUUCUAAGAAAGCAUUUGCUUUGCUUUUGCCACUCUUUUCUUUCUUUGGUAUUUUUUUCUCUCUAUGGCUAGCAAGCUUUUUCUUUGCUCCAUUUUCUUUCUGUUGGCCUUUUUCCUAUUCUAAUUUCACCUGAUAGAUCAGAUGGAAUAAUUGACCUUUCAAGUUGACAACAAAUAAUUUAAGUAGUAUUACCCUUUUCAAAUGGAUGAAAGGUUCGAUAUAACUUGGUGAAGUAUUCAAGAAUGCAUGAGAUGAAUGGGCUCAAAAUUGUGAGUGCUCUCUUCCUAUUAAAAAGCAUGCAAGCUAAGACAACAAAAAUGUAUUAUCAACUAUCAUGGUAAAGCACCAAGCAACAAGAGAGAACAUCCAUUCAACUUUUUCUUUUUCUCAAUCAUCCACUAAAACAUACAUAUCAAACAAACUUCAUUCAUGCAUUCAAACAUCAUUAAAACCACAAACCCGAGCUUAUAUGCUCAAGGUUCAUCCAAACAUGUACAAACCAAAUAUAACAGCAAGACUAAAAUCAUCGUAUGUAAAAUGAUUUUUUUUUUAAUUUGAUAAAAAUGCCCCAAAAAUAUGCAAGUAGGUAAAGCAAGAGACCUAAACCUAACCACCCCAACUUUAAAAGCAUGGUUUGUUCUUGAAGCAUAAGAACAAAAAUAAAAAGUACGAGAACAAAGUGAAGGGAACAGAAAACUCUUCUUGAUAUUUGGACAAGUGCAUUUUGUUUGAGCUUAGCUUGCCAAUUGAAAGCUUGGUUUUACUCGUUUUUUUUUUUUUUUUUUUUUUGUAUUUCUCUUGUAAAUCAAAAUAAUUUUCAAAGUUCUCUCCAUUUAGUUUGUAAGCUAAAAGUUAGAAGUUUUAAAAGUACAUGAAAAGUAGAAACUAAAAAAAAUGCAAAAGUCUAAAACUAGAAAAGAAAUUUGACACUUGAUUGCCUCCAAGUAGCGCAAGGUUUUAAGGUCAGUUGCUCAACUGUUUGUUUUGCCAACUCUCCAUUUGUUUUUACUAUAUUUGUCUCUCCAUGCUCAUGAAUUGAACGAGAAUUGAAGGAACAUGUGUUUGCAAGGAGAGGUUCUUCAUCAAAGAGCAAAUGUUGGAGGACAAGAGGAAGAGACUCGUGCUCAAUCUAGCAAACAUCUUUUCAUUAAUAGAAUAAUCUUGUCAAUGAGAGAGACAGGACCAUCGUCAUUAUAUAUUGAAUUUAUAUUCAAACUAAGUGCAUGAUCAUUCAUUAUCCAAAUUGCCAUAAAAUAUAAUUGGGUCAUUAUUAGGCAAAAUAUUCUCUUCAAAUUUUGGAACAACUAUCUUCCCACAAUUUUUAUCAAAUCCAAAAUUCUCAUUCAAAGUCAAUCUCAAGAUCAUCAUCAAAAGUUUCGACAUAUUCAUCAAUUAAAUUAUGCUUCACAUCAGGCAAACAGAUAUCACAUUAUAUCCAAUUAAUGAAAGUAUCCCCAAAUUUAGACAAUUUUCACAAUUUUGAAAAUAAAUUUUGAGUGUAUUUAACAUCUAAAUAUCCCCUUUUUUUAGGCUUCUAAACAAUUUAAGUAGGAAGAUAAUCGAGAACAGGAAGAUAAGAGGAAAAAAUUGGAAUAAUUAGGCCAUAUACUCUACGUAGGAAGGUAUUAUAAUGCAACGUUUUGCAAUUCAACAAUGUUGGCAAAACAAGUUGUAAACUUGAAAAUGUUUUCAAUAAUUCAACCCUAAAAGACAGUUUAAACACUCUACACUCAACCAUCCUAAAUCUUAAGUAUUUUUGUCCACGUAGCAUCCAAACAAUAAACAUAUCACAUAUCACAUAUCACAUAUCACAUAUUAAUUGAACACUAAUUUAAUGAUUCGCAUCAAAUUUAACUUACCAAAAUUAGAAUUUUAGAACCUGUACAUGAAAGUAAAAAUAUAGAACCUAAACUUCAAUUUCAAUCAUUUUAGUCCCUAUACCAUUCAACCGCAACAAUUUAGUCCCUAAAGUUAAAUAAAUAUUUAACAACAUAGUCCCUGUACUCCAAAAUUUAGAGAAUACAGAUUGUAGAGAGAAGAUAACAGAAAAAGGAAAAGGAAAAAAAAUUCUAUAUAAAUUGAAAGAUCAUCGUCAUUUUGUGGGAGCAAAGAUGAAUACACAUAAAAGAGGAGAGAAGGAUGAUGGCUUUUGAUUUUUCAUAUCGAGCCAAUUCACAUCAGAAAGUAAAAUUGGAGGGGGGGAUGCCAAAUUUUCUUUUCCAAUGAAAUAAAUAAAAAUAUAGGAGGGAGUAGAUCAGGUCAGAGCAUGGUUCCUGUUUUUAAAGAAUUACUUGGAAACACAGUACGCUGACCAAUCUUAUCCUUCCCUUCAAGAACUUAAUCUGUUUCCAACACCAUUUCAUUGCAUCGGGGCCUUGAAUAUCUCCAGAUCUAUACCACAAAUAACCAUCAAUACAGGAAUUAUAGCAAUGAAUAUAUUAAACCAAAUACACAAACACACAUAUUUCCUCUCUUUAUUAAAUUACUAAAUUGAACUCCAAAAAGGGGAUUCAACACCUUCAAUUUUAAAGAGUAACUAAAAAACAAUUAAGUACGAAUUUUUUAAAACCAAUAACUUUUGUCUUAUGUCUUAGCAAAUGUUAAAACGCCUAAAAAUGAUUCAUCUUAGAGAAUAGAAACUUCUAUAAUGAAAUACAAAUUUUCCAAACCAUUAACUUGAGGAGCCAGUCCAAGAUCAUGCUGAUCACCAAUUUCAAGUUUGUAGAAACUAGAAAGCUUAAACAACAAAUAUCACUUCUACAAUUAGCAGACUUACCAUCCAGGACAUAACUAGAACUCUCAAUUUAGCUUUAAUCAAUAAGCACAAACACGAAAACAAACAUGGAUAUGGAUACAAUAGGAUACAACGAUAUGCACAUUUCUAAAAAACUAGGAUACUAUAUGUUUCUUUUUUCCUUAAAAAAUUUAGGAUAUAUAUAAACUUAACAUAACUACGUAAGUAUACUAAAUGUAAUCUACUAAAUCCACGAAAAAUCAUAAACUGUCAAGUUCAAUGACAAUGGUACAAAAUACAUACAAUACAAAAAGCAACAUUAGAGACAUUGAACUACAAUAGUCAAUAGAAUGCAAUAAACACACAUAUUGAUCAAAGAAGAAAAAGAAGAUUAGAGAAAGUAUGAAGAUAAACAAAGAACUUUUUUGUAGAAUUGUUCAAGAUAUUCAACUGGAUUACAUUUUGCAGGACUUUGCCAAGACUGAAACGUGAAGAUGAAGAUUGGAUGAUUUUAGGCUUUGGUCUUUUAUUUAUUUAUUUUCUUUUAGUUUUGUAUUGGAGGAAUGAACUUCCUAAAUAGAUUAGUUUUGGAUUGGAAAAGAUUAGAUGAGUUAUUAUCUUUUUCUUUUAAAAAAAGUCAACAUAAAAAUAAAUAUGACAAAUUGCGUGUGAGAUAUGUAUCCAGAAAGUAUCUAGAAAUAUUGGUAUCUCAUACAGACUCUUCGCCUCACAUGAAUUCUUUGCCUUACAUGAAGAAUUUGUGCUUCGUAGGCUUUAAUCAACGAGAGAUUGAUGAUCUAAAAAUUGCGAUGAUCACAAUAGGAAAGAAGUGAAGUUGAAUAUGGAUAAGGAUGAAAAAAUGGAAAUACCUGCAUCAAAGUAUCAACGUCUAAUUCGAGGCUUGCAGCAAAACUGAGCAAGUAGGGCCACAUGAUCAGAAGACCACUCUGGGGAGGGAAGUGCUGUGUUUUUCCUCAUGCUUUCCUCAUCCAGAAGCUCUAAUAAAGACUCAACUGUUAAGGAGUCCACUGUCAACAAAAAGGAACAAGAAAUAAUGAAACAAAUGGAAAUUAUUUUUAAUGAAGUAUCAUCAAUACAAUAAGAGAAAUUAACGAGCAGAGGCAAUCAUAAUUGGCUAAAAGCUGACCGGUAUAAAAUAUGUAGUCUAGGGUGCCAAUGAAAUCUCUUGUACAAUUUGUAAACAAGGGCUCAUUUGUUGUUGGGUCAAGUCUCUUCCUUUGCUUCUCUGAUCCAAUACUAGCACCCAUUCUUGCAAAGGAUGAAUAAGCACUAACCUGCAACAGUUUUCUGGAAAAUUAGAACAAGACCAUAAGAAGCCUUUUAGAAGAGGAAAGUAAAUGUAGCCCCAAGCUAACGUCUACCUGAUCCAUUGUAUUUAAAUCAUUUUUUUAAAAUAAAUACAGAGAGUGAGAGAGAGAGAGAGAGAAAUGAAGAGUAAAAACAAACAAAACUAAAAUUACAAAACAUUACCAGUUGAAGCUUAUGAAUCAACUUGCUAGGUGGACGAAAUAAAUUGAGAGGAUCAACGGCCAGAUCUGGAUGUGAUGGCUCUACCUUCCCCAUAGCAAGAAGUGAAUGAGGAGCACUGUAACAAAUUUUGGUAGUAAAACUGAGCAGCGAAAAAAUAUCCACAAAGACCACAAAAAGAGCAUCACCAUUCUUAGGGAGCAAAAUUCAUUAGUGCCGUAGACAAACCUUCCAGGAACAGAAUUGAAAUCACCACAAACCAACAUUGGAAUGUCAGCACUAACAGCUAUUUUCUCCAGUCCUUUCAGAAGAGUAGAAACCUGAUUUCCAAUAAAUAUUUAGAGCAAGAAGUUUCUAAGUAUUUCUUCUUUUUUUUUUUUUCCUUUUUUCAGUGGGUCGAGGGUGGGGGGAAGCACCUGCCACAGCUUAACAUCUUUUAAAUCCUGAUGGUCAUUAACAUGAGUAUUGGCCUGAACGGGAGAAUUCACCAAAAAAUGGUCAAAAUAUAUGUGAAAAAGUAUCAGCCAGCAGCAAGCUUUCAAUAGUUGAAAAAGGAGUUGCACAUGACACGUAAUAAAGGACCAAGAAUAAAAAUUAUAAACACCUAUGACAGAUAGGCAACUACUAAGAAGUACUCUCCAAAUUAUUUGGUUAGUAUAACAGGAAAAAGAUACAAUUAUCAUUCUUUCAUGGAUAUUAUUAAAUGGCUGUCUUAAUACAUAGGAUGUUCUUCAAAGGAAACUUCCUUUUUUCACUCUCAUCCCUUAAUUUGUCCUCAAUGGAGAUUAUCUUAGCCAUUCAUUCGUUCUUCGUUCUUUAGAUGUUCAUAUUUGUCAAGUUGCAGGCAUAAGUUGGUUUCUACAUUUAAGUUUUCUUGGGUGGUCUCUCCCUGUUUGGAGGAUAAUAUUUUUCAGUUAUUCUUCGGUGUUCUUUGGCUUCCAACCUCAUUUAUUACAGAUCAAUGAUAUUUAGUUGUACAUCAUUGGAGGCCAAACAAAUAUCAAAACAAAAAGAAUUAAUCAUAAAGUGCUUUUUCCUAUAAGGUAUACACUACUUGACUAAGUGAUAUCAUCAUCAGUUGGGAAGAUUGAUAAGUGAAAGGGCAAAAAGAAAUCUUACCACACAGAGAAGCUGCCUUUUCCCCAGAUUAUCAGCUCCCUGAUUACCAAAUUUUGCUUCGAGAACCACUAUCAGUGCAACAUUGUCCUACACAGAAAAUAUGGUUGAACCGAUAAUGGCUUAGAACAAAAACAAAGUACAUGAAAAUAAAACAGCAAUCACAGACCGAAUUCAAUGAUCAACAUAGGAACAAGAGUCUACCUUAGCUAAUCGGGUUAAAGUACUCUUCUUUUGUGCAGUGGGAAUUUGAGCAUCGGUCAACGACUGGGCAGCCUUAUUAAACUCAACCUGAAUGCAAGCAUAAAUCUCUUUUAAAUAUAGAAUGAACAUAAAAACUGGAAACCGUACAGAUAGAAAAUAAUUUCAAAACCUCAUAUUUCUUGACAUGUGCAAAUCUGUCUCUACGGAAAAAUGUUGCACAACCAUCAAUUGUUUGUGUGUUUCCAUUGUAAACCUAAAAUCAACAGUAAGAAUCGUGAGAGGACCAAACAGAACAGGAAAAAGAAGAAAGAUGAAGCAAAAAAUAAAAAAUAAAAACCAACAGAAAAAUAGGAAGUUAAAUGUGAUAAAAAAAUUCAGACAUAGAAACCUCAUUUGUCUUUCUCUUAUACAGAGCUUGAUAGCCAUGUUUGUCAAGUUCAGGUGCAAAAAAUGAUUCAAAAUGAUUGCUUUGAACCUGUAAAAAAAAAUACAUAUUUUACUAUGCGUAGCAUCCACAUAAUCCUAUCAGAUCACUGUUUCAGAUAUUCUUAAAUUCUUGAGAUGGAGGUCAUUCUAACAAAUUCCAUGCAGUAAACCCCGACAACCAUAAACCACAAAAAGGGUAAAGACAUAAUGGAAUUUACUCUAUGGUCUCUUUCAAGAAACAGUAUAUUUUUCUUUCCAACACAACAUGAGAAAGGAGUUCCCUUCUGAGUGCUGCUAGUAAACAAAACCCACUUGAUUUUAAAAAACACACUGAGUAUGUCCCAACAUACCUCCUGAAGACAAACAAUAUCUGCAUGAUACCCAACUAUUUCUCGUAACAAAUUCUGCCUACGGUAUGGCCAGGAAAGAGCCCAUGAAGGACAAUAGCUGUAUGAUUCACUUGUCGCGUACACAUCAGCAAGAAUGUUGUAAGAUAGCACUGUGAAAGAACCGGACGAUGAAGCACGACCACUGGAAUCCAAUUGCCCAAUUACAUCAACACCACUAACAGGGACUAAACAGCGUGGACUGGGGGAUGGAGCUGGAAUCACACGAGAAGUUAAUAAAGUGUUGACUGGUCCGGAUGCCAAUUUUGACUCUGCAUCUACUACAACACACUCAAACUUGAGGACAUGGCCAAUAUCAUCAGCUGAUGGUGUGUAUGUUUUAGACCGUCCAACUUCAAACCAAGUUUCACCACCACUCCUUUGCGUAGUAGAUGAAGGAUAAAAAGGAGUUGAACCGUUAGUCAAGCUAGUACUUGACACUCCACCAGAUAAGUUAGCAUUGAUCACUCCAGGACCUGCACUAUUGUAACGUCCAAAUAACUCUUCAUCCUCAUUUACACUAUCAUUCACAGCACUUGUACCACGAUCAUGCAGCACACGGUGAUGUUGCCAUGCAUCUGAGAAACACUUGGUUGAGCAAUGAUAACUUUUAGCAACAGGUACUUUUGCCUUAAGACAACCUAAGCAUUGCAAGGUUGCUUGCACAGAAGGAUGUACACUACAUAUGGCCACAUUUCGAUCAUUUUGAACACGGUACCUGCAAUAGAAGAGAAUUGCAAAACAAAAAUAGUGAGAAAUAGAUUACUUUCUUCAACAGGAAACAGCCUCAAAAAUGCACAUAGCAUAUGAAUGCAUACUAAAGUAAGGAUAGUCUAUCCAAUCCAAGCCCUAUUCUUCAAUAUGAAAUUUAAUCUGAGAACAUUAUGGGUAAACAAACAGAAAAAUUUUGUCAUAAUGAAAGUGCCCAUUAGUAAGAAUAUCUUUUCUCAGAAAGCAACAAGGAUAUUCAUUGCAGACACACACAUAUAUGUCCAAGCUAUAAGCUUACUACAUUCACAAUUCGUUGGCACCCAUGACAUGAUGUUUGUCCCCAGUUAUACAAAAGAACUAGCAAGAAAAAUACUGAAAAUGGAAUAAACGAAAAAGGGAUCAUCCUUUUUUUUUCUUUGAUGAAAAGCACAAAACUUUAAUUGAGAAAGAAUGGAAGAAUACCCAGGCACAAAAAUCCAAGUCCACAAAAAAAGGAAUCCCACUGUAAGAAGAGACUCCAACUAUACAAAAUCAAGUUCACCGAAUAAUUACAAAUAUCUUCGAAAUCAAAGCUCAACAGAAACAUGUAAGCGAACAAGAAACCACAAUCUGUCACUCCCCCUCUCAACACCCCUAAACACUCUUACCAUUUCUCAGAUCCCACAACACCCAUAAGAUAGCACACACGCUGGCACACCAGAGAAAUCGGCCUUUUUCCCUAAAUGGCAGAUUGAAGAGAAACUCCUCAAUCAUAUCUCUGACAACUCUGUGACAAACACAGCUCAAGCCAAACGUUUGGAACUUUGGAAGAAAGAAUUCUAAAAGCAGCUUGCCAACUCAGAAUGCCAAAGGAUAUGGUCCACAGAUUCCGGUAAGUGCCUUUAACCCCUUUAGCCAACCAGUCAAAGGGAUGGGGACCGUGGUUGCUCACAAUAAUCCUAUGUCAAAGAGAAUUGGGCCUAUGUAAAAGCAGCAAAGUCAUUUGGCUAACAGGGAUUUGUUACAAAUCUUUAAAUUCCCAUUUUCUAACCCCCUCCCCUACUCUCGAAGAUACCGGUUUAUAUACCUCAAAUCCAUAUCUGUGAGGGAAAAUAAAUGUCUCACAUAAGCCUCUAUAUAAAGGAGCCAAUUUAACCUUCAUACCAAGAACACAGUAUAUAAAAGGAUGGCAAAAAGCUGAUGAAAUACACCAAAAGAUUUCUAUGAAUGAUCAAAUUAUUGGAGAAAGGUAGGUUGACGGUAACAAUGGGAUGUAGAAAAAGCACAAUGACGUCGACUGAAACUACAUGGACAUCUUGAAAAAAAAAAUUAUCUUCAAUUUAAAGGUACAGGCUGAGGAUCUAAGUUCCAGCAUGCUUGUUAAACUUCCCAUAUAGAAAGGAGACAUGUUUAGCAUUAAAUCAGUAUUAUUAUGAAAAAGAUGUAUAAUCUCAAUUCUCUUAUGCUCCAAUGAUCUUCGCCAGAAAUUAUCAGAAGCUCUCGGAACCUACUAAGAGAUAAGCUGUCUCAGUGAUGCUAGUUUUAACUACUGACGAGCUUCAUAGUCUCAGGUUAAUCAAGAAUGUUUUUGCCAUUUGGUAUUGAUACAUUUCCAUUUGAAUUUCAAGCUUCAAGAAAUAUUCAAUAUUAACCCAAUACAAGUAUUGGAUGGCAGAAAACGAGUGAGCAUAGAACGUUCGAUAUGAAAAAAAGAAUUAACAAGCGUGGUUAGAAUAUGAAUUGUAAUACAAAUAUACAAGCAACACAAAUAUACAAGCAGAAGUGAAAAUGCUCAAAACCCAAUCGUUAACAAAGCAUGCAGCCAUAUUGGGCAACACAAAGUUGAAACGUCGAUGACCAACCAGUAUCUGGGCUCACCAAAUACAAACGCAGAAGUAAAAAAGACUCAAGGAAAAAUGAUAUGAAAUGGGAGGGGGGAUUACCAUUUGUAUUUCAGAAAAUAGCCAUCAAUCGGAGCAGACUCAGGCACAUCAUCAGUAAUGACGGAGGUGUCUGGGCGGCGAAGGAGGAGGUAGGGCGUGAGUUCACAGCCUACAAUGGGGAUAUCAGAAGGAAGAUGCACUCGUAGCACGAUCAACAUGCUUUAUUGUUGGUGAAACGUCGCAACAGGUAAACCUUGUACACCAAUUGAUCAAAAAGAGUGAUAAACAGGCAGAUACUUGGCGGAUCUGCCAUUUAAUAGUUGUUGUUCAUACUAAUACUCGCCAGCUUUGGAGAGGGAAAAUCAAAGAAUGAAAAAACAAAAUAAAAAGAAGAUGGAAGCAAGGGAGGAUGGAAAUCUCGAAACAACAUUAAACUCCGGAAUUGGAAAGAAAGAAUGAGCGAAAGAAACAGUGGGAUUAAACACAAAAUUGUGUGUUGGGGAUUAAAGGGAAAGGGGAGUGAUAAAGAGUUGAGGGGGAAAUGGAUUGAUAGAUUGAUGGAUUGAUGGAUUGAUUGAUUUCUAGGGUUUUAUUACAUAGGAAGUGAAUUUUUGUUUUUCAGGUUCAUAUCCAAGAUUGAUUGAUAGAGAGGGAAAAGAGGAAUUUUAGUUGCAAAGAAACUUUCUUCUCCUAAUAUUUUGUUUUCUUUUCUUCAAACAGAACUCCCUAUCAAAUUGCCUACAAAUAAACCCAGACUUUUUUUCUUUUUACUACCUUGAUUUCUUGAGGUAAAGAAAGAGUUCGUUUAAAUUCAACUUUUACUCAUCUACUUUCCUUAUAUCUUUUACCAUCAUUUACAAAUUGAUUAACAAUACUUUUCUAUAAUGUAAUAAUUUAGUUUAAGAAAUAUAUAUAUACAUAUGUAUUUUACUUCUUUUUAUCAUUAUUAACCACAUCAUUAUAACAUAUGUUCGUUGUAAUUAGUGAGAUAUAAUCAAUUAGUAGCCUUACCUUCACAAAUUAUGCUAAAUAAAAACUCCAUUCUUUUUCCUUUUAUUCCUUUAAAUACAUAAAUAAUUAUGAGUAGAAAAAAAAUUUAUUAAAUCAACUUGAAUUCAAGUUGGAUUUUGUUAAUAGUUUACUUUAUACUUGAAAACCUCUCUUAAUUUAUUAUUGUACAAAAUGUAUUUUCUUAUCACGUUUACGGAUGGAUUCAAAUUACAUUUAAAGUUUGAUGUUUAAUGGAUUCAAAUUACAUUUAAAGUUUGAUGUUUAUUGACGGAUUCAAAUUACAUUUAAAGUUUGACGUUUAAUUCAAGUAUUUCUAAAUUUGUGUUCGUAUAUAUGGUCUCUAAAUUUAAAGUGAAAAUAUUAAAAGAAAAACAAACUAUUUAUAUUUCACAUUAGAAAAAAAAAAAACCUAAAAGACAAAAAUUCAUUACACUUGAUUUUUUGUAACACGUAAAUAUUUUGUUUAUUUUGCUAUUUUUAACAAUUUUCAUAUAUAUAUAUAAACAAAUUUAGAAAUAUUUUGUAAACGGCUGAAAAUAUUAAUGUAUAUCAUAUACGCAUUAAAUUUUAACAUAUAGUAUUAAUGUGAAUCUAAUUCACAUUAAAUUAAUGUUUGAACGUAUUCAAAUAUGUAUUCUCAUAAAUUAGUUUUGGAUCAUAUCCAAAAUUAAAUUUAUAUAAUAAAGUUUAAUUAAAAUAUAAAUUUUAUAUCAUAAUGUAUCACCAAAGUAAUUUUGAACAUUUAAAAUUACAAUAAAUAUAAAUAAAUCUCAUUACCAUUUACUAGUUAGGAAGAGAACCUAAUGAAGCUACAAUGAUAUAGAUUAAUUGACUAGACUCGUUAACCACACUAACCAAUAUUCGUUAACUGUGUGUACACUCCACUAAAGACUCACAAUUGAACUCUUCUCACUGUAGAUAUAUUUCUAUGUCCAUGGAUAUAGACCAAUACUAGUAAGCUGGUCAUUCACAAGUGUUUGUAAACAUCAGAUGGGUCAAAUUACCAUUUUACCUAUGGAUUACUUCUAGUCCUAAAAUAUCAGUGCUCAUCUAAUGAACAACUUGCUGCAUGGUCCAACCACUAAACAGAAAUCCCUCUCAAGUCAUAGAGAGGGUAGAACCCUUUAUUCAAGUUUAGAACCCUUUAUUUAAGUCCUGGAGACACUAUUUAAAGGAACGCUCAUCUACUUACCCUAACGUCAAAAAUGAGUUAAUUUCAUCUUGUGUGAUUAUGUUUCUAGCUUUCCACUUGAUAUUGUCCUCAAAAUGAUAAGCAUAUUGAGUCAAAAAUCUGGUUACUCUCACUCGUACAAACAAAUGACAAUCUCUCACGAACGGGAGUUUAUAAUACACUCAGGAUUAAGACUAAGUUAUUUAGGUCAUCCCAAUGAAAUAGAAAUCAACUAGUUAAUGGAGUUACAUCUAGUGGUUAUUAUUUCGUGGUUUGGUCUUAUGCAAACUCAUUGUAUAGCAUACCCUCACUCGCAUGUCAUCUACACGAUCGUGGUUGAUCAUUAUGUUUGUAUCGAAUACAAAGUGAGUCGUAUCCAUAGUGUAUUAUGAAAUCCUUUAAGAAGUAUCUCGAACAUUGAUCCAUGUAUGUCUUUACAUAUUAAACAAGUCUCAUCAAAUCGCUUAGGAUGUUAGUUUAUUGGAUUUAGGUAUUAAGACAAAACCAAUAAUAUAAUCAAUAACAUUUAUUGAAAUAAUAACACUUGAAUUAAUGACAAUCAAUGAAUUAUAUUUACUGUCUACGAGUUUUAAGACAUAAAACCCAACAAAUGCACCUUACAUAAGUCUUAAUGCCUGAAUAAUUUUUCUUCAAACGAAGCAUUUGUUUUUUCGAAUAUUAUAAUUAAUUUUAAUAUAUAUUUGCUUGCUUUAUGUUUUAUUAAUUUUACAUUACUUGUUCUAUAAUUAAUUUCAAUCAAAUUAAAUCGAAUUGGAUUAUGAAAAUAUAAAUAUUAAAUUUAAAAAGAAAAAUAAAAAAAGGAGGUGAAACCUUUCGUCGACGCAGAAACGGCAUCGCGAAUGACUGUUUAUUAAGAUGUGGCGUCGUGAUCGCUUCGUGCAACACCAUGUCGUCGAUUUCAAUAGUGGCAUCGGCGUUGUGACAACAUCGACGAGCUGAAAUCAUAUCAGCAUAAGGGUUACGCUGACGUGUUUAUUGUGUCGGCAUAUCAUGCGUUGGCAUAAGACCUAUAAUGAUGUCGUCUGUUUGAUGCGUCAUCAUUUCUUCUUAUGACGCGUUAUUUGCGACGCCAUUGCCGAUGUGAGUUUUGGCAUCAUGGAAGCCUUCACGUGACGCAUUAUGAUUAAUGGUGACACACUUCUGUGUCGACAUUUCACAAUAUUCUUGUAGUGGGCCUACAUUUAUAAUACAAUGCAUUUUUAUCCACUUUCUUUCUUCCAUCUCUUUACUAUCCAUCUUGUUAAGGCAUUUUAUGUAGUUUAAGCUUAUGUGAUGUACUUGAUAAGGAUUUCUUGUUUAUAAGUCUCAUCAUGUUUAGUUGAGCUUAACUCAUUUGCUUGGCCGCAAGACAACCAAAAUGCAAGAAGUAAUGUGGAUAGGACGCAAUUUAACUUUAAAUUUUGAAAUUGGUCUUAUUGCUUAACUUAUUCUCAACUCUUUUUAAACUAUCAAUUGAAACUCAAAAUGCAAUGAGAGUCAACUUUAAACGCCAUGUGUGAUAAAUAACAUAAUAAAAACAUACACUUUGUUAAUAACAGGCGUUUGGUAUAAACAUACAAUUACAACACUUUGACUAAAUAUAAUUAACAUUUAUCGAACUCUUAAACAUAUGGUAGCUUUCUCAAAAAUUUUAAUUAGGUUGUAAUUAAGUUAGUAAAAAUUUUAGUUGUUAGUGUUUGUAAUAGACUAGUAAAGGACUCCUAGGUUGUGAUAUGCAAUAACAUUGAGUGGUUGAGACUCUGAUUUUAUUCAUGUCUAUAAGACUUGUUUAAACAAGUUGUCCAUGUGUUGGAUGAUUUAUGGAGUUUUAUAUUUUUCAGAUUUUUGAUGUGUUAUAUAGUGUGCAUGUUCCUGUUUAAUAGAUAAUUUAAGGGUUAGCGUUAAGUAGGGUCGACAGGUAUCUUAAGGUAUCUUAAUAAAGCUUUAGGAAGAGAACAAUGUCAGUCAGUCUCAUGCUGUUGUCUCAAGCCUAAUGAGGAAGGACUUUAGGAUGAGGUGUGACCAAUAUUUCACUUUGUUAAACCGGUAAUUGAAUAAGUUUAUACGCCUUUGAAGAUCAAUGCAUGAAUGGAUUUCAAAGGUAAUACUAGCGAAAAACCGAAAUUGAUUGUAUUAUGAAAAUUUAAAAGUUAAGUGGACUCAAAUCAUGAAAUUCACAGUUAAACAAAAUUUGAUCGAGAGUGCAAAUUAAAUACACUUACAAAAAUUUUAAUUGAUUCAACGGUAAAGUUUGUACAAAUUGAUAUUUGUUAUUUUCCGUGUGAUUAAAUUCUCAUUUUGUUCUUUGUACUUUGAAAUUUGUCCAAUUUUAGUUUUUUUACUUUCAAUUAUUUAACUUUCUUUCUUAUACUUUUAUAAAUCCUAAAUUUAGUUUGUGAAUUUAUUGUUUUUUUAAAAAAAGCUAUGACAUUUUUAUUAUAAAUUUUGAAAAUAUAUUCACCUAUUUUAUUUACUUGCAUAGAGAUAUUUUCAAAUAUAGUAAAAUAAACUAAAUUACAAACUAUAAGAAAAAUUUAGAUAUCUAUCGAUGAUAGAAACCGAUAAACUUCUAUCAUUAUCUAUGAAUAUCACUAAUAGAAGCAUAUUAUUGUAAUAGAAUAUAAAAUUUUGUUGUAUGUUGUAAAUAUUUUUUAAAAUUUGUUAUUUUUGUUAAUUUUUCUAAAAAAUAUUAUUGUUGUUUUUAUUUAAUUACUUUGGAUUAAAAAUUAACUUCAAAGUACAAACACCCAAAUCGAAAAAUUAAAGGUAUAAAUACCAAAACUGGAGCAGAAGGAAUAUGAUCACAAUUCAUAGUGUUAUUUGAUUUUAGCAAUUUGUUUUUAAACUUUUUUCUCAAAUAUGGUGAAUGAAGAAAGUAAUGACAAAAAUAAAGUCGGGACGAAACUAUUGACAAAAAUAUGAUAGUUUUAGGUCCCACACCUUAUUUUUCAUUAUUUAUAUUAUAUAUAUAUAUAUAUAUUAUACACGGGCCUUACACCUUUUUAUUUUAUUCAUUAUUUAUAUUAAUUGUGGAUCCGACGUAGGGUUCUUUUUUAUUUUUCAUUUUCAUAUAUAUAUAUAUACACGUGUGGUUCCAUACUUUCUUCAUUUCUUAAUUAUAUAUCUAUAUAUAUAAAUUUUUUUUCUUUAUUUGUAUAUAUAUUAAAUAUUAAAUUUUGAAUUUUGCUUAUUAAAGUCACUUUUCUUAUUUCGAAUCAACUUUUUUUUAUUAAAUUCACUUUUAUUAUUCUGAGUCAACUUUCAAAAAUCAAAAGAUCAUAAUAUAUAAGUAAUUUAUUCACCACAGGUAUAUAUAAAUUUAUUUAUAUUACCUAAAAAUAAUAAUUUUUUGCUAAUUUUGAAAUAAAACUAAUUUUUUUAAAAAAAACUUUUAUAUAAAAUAUUCGUGCUAUAUACCAAAAUAUCCAAAAAAAAAAAAAAAAAUGAUUACAAUAUUAAGAUUAAAUUAAUAAGAUACUAAUGAGACAAAAAAAUUUCUUAAUUUGAUCACGAUAGAUUUUUUAAAAUUUAUUUUAAAAUCAAACCAUAAUUUUCUUUUAAAUUAUUUUACGAUUUUUAAUUUUUCUUUUUUUCUUUUGCCAUGAACAUUAAAAUCUUUUGUUCAAUUACCCACGUGAGCAAUAUAUAUUCAUGGCUUCAAUUAUUGUUGUUAUUAUUAUUAUUAUUGGAGUAUCUCAAUUAUUGUUGCUAUUUUAAUUUGUUUAAUAACACAUUUUGUUAAUAUAUGUGUUUUUUUUUUCUUUAAGAAUUGAAAAUUAGAAAAAAAAGAUAGGUAUAAUUUUGAUUAAUAAAUAAUCAAAUUAAAUUAGAAAAAUAAAUUUAAUAAGAAAAAAUUGAAUAAGGAAUAUUUUGAUAUUUAAUAUAUAUAAUAUAUAAAUAAAGAAAGAAAAGGAAAAAGAAUAAAUUAAAAUUAGAAAGUUGGAGAAAUAUAUUUUUAGAAUUUAAAUAUUUAAUAAAUAUAUGAAAAUAAAAAAACAAUUGUGAGACCCACAGUUAACAUAAAUAAUAAAUAAAAUAAGAAAGUGUAGUCCAUGUAUAAUAUAUAUAAAUAAUGAAAAAAUAAGAUGUGAAGUCCAAAACUAGGGUGUUUUUGUACUAGUUUGAUCCAACCUUAUUUUUGUCAUUACUUUUUCCAUUUACAUUAUUUAAAAAAAGAUUUUCUCUUUUAAUAUUUUUAAAAUAGUAAAAUAAAUUAAAAUAAUUCUAGAUUGAAUGGUACAUGGGAUAGAAUUUGGCAUGGGUGCUAAAUAUUCUGUAAAAUCUACCUUUUUAAAAAAUUCUCCUUUCUUUUUUUUGGUUGCCAUUCUUAUUAUAUAAUUCCGAACAAAAACGAUUAAAUUAGAACUAAAAAGUUUCAUCUAAGUGUUUCCUUCAAGCUCCCACUUCGGAGAAAUGUACAUGGUGCGUUGGUCAAUCGUCGUCCCUCUGUUCCUCUGCUUUCUCGCCGUUCCGCCGGUGACUUCCCUACCACCACCUCCCACUGUAUGUAUAAUUGGCAGUGGUAUCGGCGCCUCCUCCGUCUCCCACUUCCUCCGCCAAUAUGCUCCGUCGUACAACGUCUCCACAGAUUUCAACAUUCGGAUGUUCGAGCGCCAUAACAUUGUCGGCGGUCGGAUGGCCACUGUCAACAUUGCUGGAGAUACAUUCGAAGCCGGAGCAUCCAUCUUGCACCCCAAGAAUCUUCAUGCCUUGGGAUUCACUGAGCUACUCAAUCUUACUGUCAAGAAACCCUCCUCUUCCGGUUCGUUCUCUCUCGGGAUUUGGGACGGCCAUAAAUUUGUCUUCAGAACCCUCACGAGCGGCCUCACCUCCACAGUUCCUUUUGUGGAUAAGAUCGUGGACCUAUGGAAUCAGCUCGUCAUGUUCCUCCGAUACGGCUUCUCGCUUCUAAGAAUGGAGGAAUUUGUUGAGGUUUUUUUCAUUGUAUUCUUUGGUCUGACCUGGUUCUCUAAAUUACCGUGGCGUUGACUCUGUAUUUUUGGUGAAUUGAUGAUGCAGGGAGCUGUAGAAAAAUUCUCCAAGUACUAUGAAGGCUUUGAAUCUAGGCCUGUUUUUGAGACUGUAAAUGAGAUGCUCAAUUGGUCUGGUUUGUACAAGCUCACCACUCGAACUUUGUAUGAGGAAUUAAUUGAUGCUCGCUUGUCUCAUUUGCUAAUACAAGAACUUGUCACUGUAAGAACUUUUGACUUUCUUUACUUGUUUGCGCGAAUCUCUAUGAAUUUUUAAGUUACAUUUUUAAUAAUUCCUAUUCAUUGUUUUUGUUCAAUAUAUAUGAUGAUUUAUUGUUUUUGGGGAUUGAGGGGGUUUCUUUGGUUUCCUGGAUAUAAAUAUAUCCCUGAAUGUGAAAACUACAAACAGCUAAUAUAAAAAACGUGUUAAAACAGGCUCUCUUGGUGUGAAUUUCUGAUAUUUCUGUGUGAAAUUUGAAGUUGAUUGAUUUUAUUUACAUUUGAAGAGAAGGAUCGGCUGAGCCAUCAUGGGUUGGCCACUUGGGCUAGUGGUAAAAAGGUCAAUAACUAAUAAAGAGGUAAUGCGUUCGAUCCAUGUGGCCACCGGCCACCUACCUAGGAAUAAUGUUGUACGGUCAGAUUAUAGUCGACGUGUACGUAAGUUGUCCCGACAAUCAUAUAGAUAUAUAUAUAGAAAAAAAAGGCCACAUAGAUGAAAUUAGUACAUAUUCAUUAACAAUGGCUUCCAAGACUUUGUACAAAUGUCCCAAUUCAAAAUCAGGGGUAGGUUAUAGAGCUGUUUGAAGGAUUCCUUAUUUUUUAGUCUAGAUAUGGCAUAUCUUAAAGAUAUAUAACUGUUCCAAAGAAAAUUUUAAUCCACAUUCUUAUAAAGCCAACCUCCAUCACUCGCAAUGAACUUAGGAUGGGAAUGUGCUUUGUAAGACCAAUUUUCAACCUCAAAUGCAGGGAUUCAAUUUCUUGCCAUUGUUCAUCAAAUAUCAGCAAAACUAUCAUCAAAUUUUAAGAAUGCCUAAUCAGCCAUGAUAACAUUGACUAGAACUUUAGGUAGAAAAUAAUCUUCCAAACCAAGAUGGAUAUCCUUCCAAGAAUAGUAGGCAAACAAUCGAUAAACAACAAAUAGAUUGUUGAAGUUCAUUGGCAACAGUUAUAUUUAUGUCUUAAGAAUUUCCAUCUUGAGACUGCUUUAAAUGUAGAUAUUAUGUUGAUUUCUGGUUUACAAAUUCAAGCUCAAAGAUCAAUAAAUUUUUGGCUGGUGAAUGUGGAAGUAUUUAUGCAUUUAUUUUGUGCAUACAGAGUAUGAGUGGUUGUGAAGUCGAUAAAUUCUGAUUCCUAGUCGAGACAUAAGUAUUGCAUUAUUUUUUUAAUUUUUUUAUUUUAAUUAGAAUGUUUUCUCGGAUCUGAGCUUACUAUAUUUCUCAAUCAAGUACAUAAUGGUAUAAAACUCAAACUAUGGUUCAACUUUUAAACAAUGUAGGCAUGUUGCUUUCUUGUUCCCUCCUUUUUACAGAUUUAGGGCCUUUAUUUCUCUUCUAAUUUUUUGCUUCAGAUGGACCAACUUAUGCAACUCUUUUUUUUUUUAAAUGUUGUCGGUUGAUCUGUGCAGGUAAUCACAAGAAUUAACUAUGGCCAAAGUGUCUCUAUUAGUGGACUUGCUGGGGCAGUUUCGUUGGCAGGAUCAGGUGGAGGGUUGUGGUCAGUUGAAGGUGGUAACUGGCAGAUGGCUGCUAGACUAAUAAAUCAUUCAGAUAGCACAUUACACUUGGAAGAAGAAAUCAAGUCCAUCUCUUACCGAGGUGAAUAUUAUGAGGUCAUGUCUAACAAGGGAAACAAUUAUUCAUGCGAAGUUACUGUAGUUGCUACUCCUCUAGAUGAGGUGAACAUUCAGUUUACACCUCCGAUUAUAAUUCCCAAGAGAGAAUUGCAACAUACUCAUACAACAUUUGUAAGGGGGCUCUUAAAUCCUGUGAGUAUAUUUUAGAUUUUGAAUGGUUCUAUAAUUUCCAAUUGUUUAUCUUCAUUCUUUUCAGUCUAACGUGUUGGUGCUUUUGUUUUUCUUUUUUUGUGCAAGGUAUACUUCGGUCUGAAGGCUUCAUCAAAACUUCCAAAGUUGGUGGGUACAACGGAAACUGAGAAUGUACAAUUUUCAAGUAUUUCAGUUCUUAAGCAACAUGAUGAGAAUGAUAUGACUUACAAGAUAUUCUCACGUAAACCUAUGGAAGAUACUCUACUGGAUAAGAUCUUCAGGUAAAUCUAAAUGCUCCGUCUCUGCCUUUCUUUAUUUGAACUUGGGUGGAACACGUUGUUGCUGAAGUAUUUUGCUCACCUUAUUUUGUAUGGAUGUGGAAUCAAUUUUUUACAUUUGGUAUUGUUAUUAUUUUUGAGAAACUUUAUGCACAGUCUGGAGUGAUGAUAGUCAACUAGUCAAGGGAAAAUAUCGUUAGUAUAUGUUUGAUCCUGUUGAAAUGAUAAGUUUGUUCUAGAAAGGAGAAAAACACCGUUUUUGGAAUCGAAAAUGAACUUGGGGUUAGCUUGGUGGAAGGGAAAGCUGUAGUGAAUUUGAAGUAAUUUAGUGCUUUUUCCGGAAGCUAUAAGGAGGAUCUUCUUUAAAAGCAGCUAGAUUUUAAAAUUUUAUGGCAGUAGAUCCGGAGUAUCUAAUAAGUCCUUAAACGUUCAUUAAAUUGACCGGGCAUGUUGGGUUUGUCCUUUGCUCCUAGAAUUUGUAAUAGCAUGGCCUCUGAAUUCACUAAAUUUGCGCUCUCUCAAUGUGGAUCUUCUUGUUGGACUGAGGAUGUUUCUAAUUAGCUCUCUUAGUGUCUUGGAGCGUAUAAGGUUCCCCCACCCUAAAUUGUUAGAAUGUAGAUAACAAAGGAAGAAAGUUGUAAGUGGAAAUAGUGUCUAUAAGUUUAAUUUUUAAAAACAAAAAAAAAAACGAAAUAGUUACCAAACAGGACCUUGUUGAUUUAUUUUAUGUAUAUUUUUUUUGAAACAAUUAAUUCAUUCAAUUUUUUGAGUGUUACUAAUGAUUGAUUUUUGUAGUCUUGAAUUUUCAAUUAUGGGUCUAGUAGAUAUAUGAAUUUAAAAAAUGCACCUAUUAGACAACAAUUUGAAAAGUGAAGAACUUGUUAGAUACAAAAUCUAAAGUUCAGUUAUCUAUAUACGUUUUUGUAAAGGUCAGAGACUCUUUAGUUUUGACAUUUAUAGUUCUUGGACCAAAUAGAUACACAUUUGAAAUGUUUAGAGACAACCCUCAAAUUUUAACCUAUAAAUUUUCAUGCCAUUGUUUUUUUCUUCAUAUUUAGUUGGUUUUCUCACAUUACUUCUUGUUGAUUGUUAGCAUAAGAAAGGAGACGAUUCGGAUAGAUUGGGCUGCAUAUCCCCACUUCAAAGCUCCUGAAGUAUUCGCACCUUUUAUUUUGGAUGGUCAGCAUUUGUAUUAUGUGAAUGCUUUUGAGAAUGGUGCCAGUACCAUAGAGACCAGUGCUAUUGCUGCUGAGAACAUUGCACGACUCGUUCUCUCUAGAUUUCUUGCAAAGGUUGGCCACGAUUCAUUACAUUUCAAGCUUGAUUCUGGUCUAGAUGCUUCGCCUUUGCAUAUAGAUCUUUGAAUUCACCAUUUCUCUGUUUCAGAUUGUAAAAUCAUGUAACAUAUGCAUCAUGUAAAUCAUCAGGUUUUUGCUGUAUGGUGAAGAUAAAUAAACCCAAACUCAAAGUAGUUCUCUCUUAUAUCAUGUGGAAAUUUGAGGUUUGAAAGUUGUUAUUAAUUUUAAGUAUUAUAUGAAAAUCUCAAAAAUAGGUUCCGACUCCUUGAGAUAGAGAUUUUUAUAUGAAAAACUUUUUCUAUGUAGAAAAUUUGAUAAAUGUCUAAAGUUUGAAUAAUUUCACUAACCUCUCUUUAUUUUUUCCGGUGAUUUGGAAAAGUAGAGUGGUUUUAAAUUUAAAUUGAAAAAAUGUGUGGUUUUAAAACAAUUUAGGUAAAAUGGUUUGUUUUUUUGUCAUUUGAUUCUUUUUUUAUUUAAUUUUUUAAAACAUCAAUUCACCUAUUUUUAUUCUCUCUCCUUCCCUUUUAUUGUUAUAGGAUUUUAUUUUAAUGAUUUAUUAAUGAAGUGAUCAAAAGAGUUUCGGGUAGAUCAUGUUCACUAAGAAUUGACCCGAAAUUGGAUCUAGUUACAUAUCUUUGGUUUUGACUAUAAAACAAUAUUUGUAAACUUUUAUAGAAGAAAUUGUAUCAGAUCACAAAAUCAUUUAGAAAAAAUAGUUUAUGACAUUUUUUUUUUUUGCAUAUUUGCUAUAAGAGGGUUAUCAAAUGUUAAAUUUGUUAUUUUUGUAAUUUAAAAAAUAUAGUAAGAUAAAUUCUAUUAUUAUAAAUUUAUUUUACUAUUUUUGCCAACGUUACAUUUUAAUGGUUUUGGAAAGGGUUUUUGGGGAAUGGUUUUGGAAAAUGGUGAGUUCGUUGGAACUCCAAAUCUUUAUUUGGCAUGCAUGGGAGAUAUGUAGGGAUAGUUGUGAAUGAACCAAAAUAUUUGCAUAAAUAAUGCAUCUAUUAAGCUCUUUUUUUUAACAAAAAUAAAACGCAAGGUUGUAAUUUAUAUUUAGGAAAGUUUACAAAAAUAAUAAAAAAAAUUUAUGAUAUUAGAGUCAAUGUCACUUAUAUUUUCAAAAUUGCAAAAAUAACAAAUUUAAAAGCAGAUUACUGUCAGAUUAUCGUUUGAUUACCAUCAUAUUUGCUAAUUUUGCAAUAUGCAAAAAAGUGUUGUUAUUAACUCUUUUUUUCUAAUUUUUUUUGUCAUCUAAUGCAAUUUUCCUUAUACUUAUAGUAAAGUUUCUUUUUAUACAAACCCCUUCUCAUAAUUACAUUCUUUUGAAGUGGUCAAAAGACGUAAAAAAUGUUUAUCUUAAUGGGCAAUUUUUCAUCUUGAUUCCCAAUAUUCUUUUACUAAAAAUUGUAACGUUGAAAUCCAAAUUUAUAAACAACUUCUACAAUUUUUUAAUGCAGAGUGGGGAUUUGAACCCAUAUACGUACAAGUACCAGUUGAGAUAAGCUCAUGUUGGCUAACUUCUACAACUUCUAUAAAUUUUAAAAGCCCUAAAUUACAAACUUUCAAUUCGAACCGAUUAAAGUUG
rnacentral:lncRNA from 1 species